rnacentral:lncRNA from 1 species
GUUUUUUUUUUGUACUAGGCUGUUAUCAUUCACAUCAUGUUUCAUUGUGAUUUAUGUGCUUUAGUGGUUGAAUUGCUUAGAAUUAAUUCCCUUUUCCUAUGCAGGCACCAAAUACAAACAGUGAAGCUCCAAGAAAUAUGCCUGAUGCGGUGCGAUCCAAAGAUUUUAGAAAGGGACCAGUGGCAGGGUAAGCUAAAUGACGUGUGUUUGGUAAAAAAAAAUGAAGUUUGUUUCUUUCCUUUCGGGAUAUUACUUAAACUUUUGAGUAAGUGAAUGUUCAUUAAGUGCAAGAAGGCUUGAAGCCCUGGAUAAAUCUGUAGGGAUGCACUGGUUCCAUAAUCCCAAACGGAGAAAAAAUGAAAAUUAUUUUCAAAAAAUGGUUAUGACACUGAUCUGAUUUAUCCUCAUUGACAGUGAAAAUCAAGUGGCUACGCCAACUAGUACAACGACUGAAGUUGCUAUUCCUUGCAAGUAUAUAGGCUUUGUUUGUGGAACCAAUGGCAGUGAUAUUGCAGAGAUAAAAAAGGUACUUACUUUUUUCUUCUAUUUAUCUAACAUGCAGUCAGCAUAUGCCUGUCUCUUGUUGCCUUGUGCUCAUCAAGGCAACAAGAUAUGCCAUUGUUCCUGACUUACUAUCGUCAAGUGGGGACCUUGUCACCAUGUAGAUUUGUCCUUUCUCUGGAACAUGGUAGUACAGCUUGUUCAUCUUUUAAUCUUUACAGAUUGUACUCUUUCAAUUUUUCACACCACUGUAAAGCUCAAAUGAAAUAGUUCUCUUGAAAUCUUUAUAAUUUAGGCUCAAGUCUCAGAUAAAUCUACCAUCUCAGAUAAAUCUUUAUAGUUCUUUUGGUAGUAUCAGUCCUAAAAAUCUUGGCAAUAAUUAUCUUCCAGAUGUCAGGGGCUUCAAUUACAGUUCACGAUCCGAAACCUGGUGAUGCAAAUUCAACAAUUGUUAUUGUUGGGGACCCGGAGCAAACCAAGAAGGCACAGAGCUUGAUUCACGCCUUCAUCUUCUGUGGUUUAUGUCAAACCUGAUUUGAGCGAUGCUACACCACCAUGAUUCCUGAUUCUUUAAUCUCGGAGAGGGGUCCCCGUGGGGAGAAUUCAAUCCCUGCCCCACUGCUGCCGGGGUGGAUGUAGGCAAUAACAGCCGAUGCAUGCCUUGUACAAAUAAAAUCUGUGUUUUGGGUUUGAUUUGAGGUAUGGUCAUGGAAUGCGGCAGGCUGGCUGCACCUCUGGUCAAGUUCGGCAAGUUUUCUAUUAGGAGUAGAGAGUUUUUUUCGUAGAUUAUUUGGGAAGUAUCCAUGGAGAUUUUCAAUUUCCAGGCGAUGUCUGUGCUCUGUGCCGGUACGACUUGACUUGCCGGACCAGAGACCACAAGAGUCAAGCACUCCUCGAGAUUCACAUUAUUGAGUUAGGGGAUAGGGCCCUAGCUUUUCUUCCUACGUACAAGCAUGGGUGCUGAACGUGACAGCGCAAAUGGACUGUAACUGAAAUUUAGCGAGAGGGGUCGAGGAGACCAGAUCAGACGAGGUAAACUCAAAUACAGGCGAUUAGCCAGCCAAUUUGUACAGCUCAAGACCCUCGGAAAUCUUGAAGAAAAACAAUGAAGUUUUGUUUGGAUACUGGUGGAUUGAAGAACGGGAGGGAUUAUAGAGGAAAUUAGUUCAUUUUAGAUUCAAUCCUCUUCAUUUCCUUCCAAUCCUUUUCUACCUAAAUAAGUCAAAACACAGACUCACAUGCUGUGACCCUUAGAGCCUUCAACCAUAGCACGAGUCACAGAUCCCUCGUCUCGAAUGAGGCAUGAGUCACCACUCACCAGUCACCGGAGAGUCGAUGCCUCGUCCCUUCAGGGCAAGACUGGAAUAUCGCCUCCAAAGGGACCCGUGGCCGGGUCGUGGGUGUUCCCAAGGAAGUUCUAGGCAAUUGCAAGCCUGACAUUUUGUAGCAUCUACCCACGACAUAUUCGCAUGCGUGCUUUGUGCUUUGGACAAGGUUGUCAACGAACAAGUCGUCACGGGGCUCUGCGUAGCUGGUAGCAUCUUUUGCAUUGUGCGUGCCAUCGAGCAUAGCUGUUGCCUACCCGGUUUGUGGCUUGUAGCCGGAUAAGGAACUCCGUGGCGCAGCGAAGGCUGUGCGUUUUCGAGAAGAUACAAAGUACCCUUCAGAUGCGCGAAUUCAUCUGUCUUUUUGCAUUUGGAUAUGGUCGAAACGCACGCGCUGCACCUAUUGUUUCCUCACGAGUUCAUUCUCUGGGGAAUACCUAGUGCAAAGCAGUUUAUUCCUUAGUUGAGAAGCAACCAAGCCUUCGUGGAAAAAAAAAGGCAGUUCUCUGUUGUUCAUGGAUUUCGCAUGGGCGCAUGGUUUCUUGUAAGGUGACAGAGAAGUGUCAAAACUGCGCAUGUGAUUCUUGUCUGUCAUUGAGGACUCCCAGGAGUAGGAAGGAAGACAUUAAGAGAGAAGGAAUGACCGAGCAAUACAUCAUUUUGACAUUUGGAAGGUGAGGAGCAAGGACUGCUUUGUCCCUGCAUUUUUUUUUACAAAGAACAGAAGAACCAAGAACUAAAAUUGGGGAUAAAAGAGUCAUCCAUACAACUAGAGAUGGCAAUGGGUACCCGAAACCCGAGUACCCGACAGGUUUUGCUCGAUAAGAAGGCGGGUAUGGAAACAUAUCUCUACCCGGGGUACACUAAUGGGCAAUAUCAUCUACCCAUCAGGUAAGCCGGUGCAGGUGCGGGUACAUACUACCUAUAACUGCAUACCUGUGGGUAAAAUAUACCCGUCUACAAUAUGUGAUAAACUCAUAAACUUCACAUUGAUAGUGAAGGAUAACUUAAUAUUGAUACCUAACUAAUAAUUUAUGCUUUAUUAGACUAUUAAUUGGUUAAGAAUUUAUAUUUAUCUUUUUUAUUUACUCAAAUUUGUUGAUGUAUGCGCUUUCUCAUGUGUUAUGUUCACGAUCCUAUUAGAUUACAACAGGUAUGCUAUCAGGUACGGGUUAUCCGAUGGGAAAAACCCGCACGGGUGUGGGUAUGGGUUUUUUUAGCAGGUAGAAAUAGAGUUGGUGGGUGCGGGUAUGGAAUGGUAUUAUCCAGCGAGUACCUGUUGCCAUCUCUACAUGCAACCUUUUCAAAUAGUUCCAUUGAAUGUCUCGACCCUUUUUCUUUUGCGAUUUUGCAAGAAAAAUGGUAGAUAUUCAAUUAGAGUGUAGUACGUCGUCCCUAGUUAUACUCCUCCAUGCUCCAUUUUGCAACCAAGGACGAGGCUUUCUUCCCAUUUCAAAUCUCCGGAAUUCGGCCCUUUCCAACACUGACCUGUGGGCCAUCCUGAUCGGCCCCGAGCUGUCAGCCACUGCCACAGCUACCCUCGUCGCCGACGUGUGGGCCAAUAAACAGAUCCGUCCCCACAUGUCAGUCCGCGCCAGCCGUCAGCAGUCAACAUCUUCGUCGAACCUUCCCUCGCGCGCUCCCCCGGUCGCUACGGCUCCCCGAUAAAACAGCGGAAAACCCGCGCGCACGCAGACUGACACACUCACUCACACCGGAAGAGAGGGCCUGGAGGCGUGAUCGGAGGCGAAGGAGAAUCGGUUGGAACGCACGCGAAAUCCGAGGUGAGGCGAUCGCCGGCUCGCCGCCGUCCCGGUAUCUCGAUCCUUCCAGAAUGAAUGGCCGUUCUGAAUUCUGAUCGGCCUGUGCUUGCUGCUAGCAGGUUGCCCAGUGAUCGGUGCCUCGGCGUCGUCAGUCAAUCCUGCAAAGGCUGUUGCUGAUGGCCUCAGGGACGGGGAGCUCGCCGCCGCCGGAGAUCGGCGCCCCAGUGGUGGAGGCGGCGGUGGCGGAGGAAGAGCAGGCGGUGGAGGGAGAGGACGCGUUCGAUAUACCCAGUAAGAAUGCGUCGCACGAUCGCCUGCGACGGUGGAGGGUAUGGUGUCUCUCGAUCAAUAUAGAUUGAUUCAAAUUUAACUCUUGUUGUGAGAUGGGUAUGAAAUUUCCCUACGAUUCAACUGAAAUGGGCUGUGGUUGGUAGAUGCCGCGGUAGAUGAUGAUCAAAAUCAACAGUUUGUUCAUCCUUGUAUCACCAGUUUAUCACAUCGUAUUGUCGUGGUGCUUGAGAAGUUCUUUCUGUGUCUAGUCCAUUCUUUCGUGGGACUCUUGGUUUGCGUAGCAAAAGUCACCAUUUUUGUGUUUAAUUUAUUUUCUGCUUUGUGAUGGUCUUCACUGAAUUAAAGAGUUCUUAUGGAUGAAUGCUGGGUGCUGAUGGAAGGAUCAAUUUUUACAAGUCUUUAGGUACCCACCUCGAGGUCGAAACAUUACCUUGAAGCUUAUGGGCUGCCUCCCUUGAAUUAAGUACAACGAUGGUAUACUGCAGUCUAGAUAUUCCAGUAUGUACGCACAUGGCCGAUAGCAGGAAAGUUUGUUGGCUAUAUGAUUUUCCUUGAAUAUAGUGACACAUUUUUACUCAUAAAUUUAAGGGGAAAAUUAGUAAAGUUUGUUGCAUCCUUUGAUAGGAGGUGAUACUUCUGACUGCGUGUUCUCUUACAGAGAGUUGAUGCGUGUUACUUGGAAUGAUCUUUUCUCUCUUCAUUUCAGCAAGCAGCUUUGGUCCUCAAUGCUUCCCGUCAUUUUAGAUAUACUCUAGACCUGGAACUGGAGGAAGAGAAAGAGAACUUAAAAAGAAUGAUACGAACUCAUGCACAAGUGAUACGAGUAAUAUCUCAUUGGCUAGUUGAAAGAACAUUUUCUUUUCUGAAGUAAAUGUAUUGUUCAUUCCAAGUCUGGAUUCUUCAGGCAGUAUUUCUUUUCAAGGAGGCUGGCCAGAAGAAUCUAGGAGGUACUACUUUCAACAUACUACUCCUAUGCUUGAUGGAAGAUUCCACCAUCCUUAAAAAUGGUCAUUUAACAAGGGAAAAUUUCAUGUAAAUGGUGACACGACAAUGGACAGCGGAUCACAAUAUAACUUACCAUUGUAAUGAAUUUUAUCUGUUCCAUUUGGUAUUAAUUGUUAUUUCUUAUAUUUCAUAUGUUAAAUUAAAUUUGCUAAGGCUCACUCAUCUUAGUGACCCCUCAGUUUCCUACCAGCUACCUCUUGCACAUUUUCCUGAUUAUAUGGCCGUCUAUGUCAUAUUUAUUCAUGUGCUAGUAAUUGCUUUGUCACAACAUAGGUUACAUAGAACCAUAACAUUUUUAUCAUCAUAUAAUCUGGGUGCUCUUAAUUAAAUAUAUCUUCUCUCUUAUUUCUUUUCUUUUUUGAAUUUAUUUUCGCUAAUGCAACCGUGAUGUUUUCAAUGCUUUUAUGUAAGCAGAAUCUUACACUAGCAUAAAACUUGAGACACUCUCUCAGAGAUUUCGAGUUGAUCUGAAAAAACUCACGAUGCUGAACAGAGACCAUGAUGCCAUUAUUUUUCAGGAGGUUGGAGGGGUAGGUUCAAUUGAAAAUGUACUUGAAUUUGUAUCUUAUUUUCCCACUUGCCAUUCUGCAAUUUGAUGGUAUGUUUCUUACAAAAUUAUCCCAUUUAGGUUAGGGGGCUUUCAGAUUUACUAAAGAGUAGCUUAGACAAAGGAGUAAGUCCAGAUGAGGAGGAAUUGUUGCUGAGGAGAGAUAUUUUUGGGGCAAACACAUAUCCUCACAAGAAAAGAAGAAGCAUAUGGGUACACAGUUUCCUAAGCUAUAUCUUAUUUUCUAGUGCAGAUUGCUAUCCUCUGUUUUGGAAAAACUAACCUUAGUUCAGUUGUUCUACAGGGCUGUCUUAUUUUCCUAUGUUCCUUUUUAUUCUGCCACCGAGAUAGGAUAUUGAUUAUAUUGUGGAAAAAGUAGAGAUGUAAUACUUCUAAAUUUACAUGUGUUAUUUGCAAAACGAAAAUUUAUAACAAAAAUGCGCAUCAAAUGAUAUUUUAUUCUUCACUGGCAUUUCAUUGCUUGAAAUAUAAGCAGCCUGUGUCUUCAAACUUAAUAUAUAUUAUUUUCUUAUUUGCAGCGUUUUGUAUUUGAAGCUUGUCAGGAUUUAACUCUUGUUAUUCUAAUGGUAGCUGCUGCUAUAUCGUUAUCACUAGGCAUGGCAACAGAGGUACUUUUAUGACACACUGAUGAUCGUUUCUCCUCUAAAAGGACAGUUAUUUUGCCUUAUCAUCCAUUUGGGAAGUAAUUUUGAUUAAUACUUAGGCUGUUUUGGAACCAUGAUUAUGUCCGUUUCCACGAUUUAGGGUGUGAAAGAUGGAUGGUAUGAUGGUGGAAGCAUAUUUUUUGCUGUUUUUCUUGUGAUAUUCGUUACAGGUAAAAGUUCUGUUUUAUAGUUUGCCCCCUCCCUCCUUUCACUGUUAGUCAUGCACAAACUAGUUCAUCGAUAGGCUUAAGAGCUUUUCUUUUUCAAAUGAAAUGGUCCUGCUGGGUUUCAAGCUCAUGAGUCAGGACCUCCUACUCUGCAAAUGUAUGAGUACACCUACCCUUGCCGUGCAUUGGUAUUGUAAUUGGACCACUAUUUUCACUCUUCUUAAUACAAUGACACGCGGUUCUCAUGUGUGUUCAAGAAAAAAGUACAAAUUUGAAUGUUGUGCACUAGCUUUUUCACCAAAUAUCUUAAGGUUUUAGGGGAAGGCUAUCAAACUUCUCGUAUGUGAACAAUUUUACUUAAACAUGGUUAUGUUCUGUUUUUUUAUUAUUUCCCUCCUGUUACAGUGCCAUGAGUCUAUCAUGUUCUAAUGCUUUAUCUCUUCACAACUCUUAGCUACCAGUGACUAUAGGCAAUCUCUUCAGUUUCAACAUCUGAACGAGGAGAAACAGAACAUACAAGUUGAGGUAUGUGUGCAAUCAUUUUAGAUAUUAGUUCUGGAUACAGCUAAUGACUUAUUGUGACCUAUGAUUAGGUCAUCAGAGGUGGUAAAAGAAUAGGAGCUUCGAUAUUUGACCUUGUUGUCGGUGAUGUGGUUCCGCUCAAAAUUGGCGACCAAGUAAUACCUCAUAUAUUUCGUUCUGCCUACAUCUGAGUUCCUUCUUCCUUCCUCCCUCUGAUGUGGUUAUGUGCAUUCAUCUUUAGGUUCCUGCAGACGGUAUACUGAUAUCUGGCUAUUCUCUUGCAAUUGAUGAAUCCAGUAUGACUGGGGAAUCCAAAAUUGUGAGUGUUGAUAAAAAAACUUUAUUUGUUUCCUAAAAUCUGCCUUACAAAAUUUCACUACUAUAAAUCAUGAUCAGGUUCAUAAGGACCAAAGGGCCCCUUUCUUGAUGUCUGGCUGUAAGGUUGCAUAUGGUUAUGGCUCUAUGCUGGUGAGCCCCACUCUAUUUUUUGAGCACUUGCUGAGUAUAACUUAGUUGAGUCUUUCAAAGUGUAGAUGAUGAGCUGAGUGUGUUGCUUUCUUAUUUACAGGCUUUCUUGUACAAUAUUACAUGUAUUGGUUGCUACUACUUCAUUUAUUCUGACAAUUCAUACUGAACACUAACAUAAUCUUUGUGCAAUUGCUAUCAAACACAAAGGUAACUGGUGUCGGUACCAAUACUGAAUGGGGUAUGCUGAUGGCUAACCUUUCAGAGGAUGUUGGUGAAGAAACCCCAUUACAGGUUAGUUUCUUAAGUUGCCUUUUGAGAAGGGAUGUUGAUUUAUUAUGUUAUGGAUUGUAUAUGUAGUAUGAAUCUGUAUUGACUCAAUUUGGAUGAUCCAUGCUUCCAUUUGCACUGACAUAGGUUCGUUUGAAUGGUGUCGCUACUCUUAUUGGUAUUGUGGGAUUAACGGUUGCCGGUGCUGUUCUAGUUGUGCUUUGGAUAAGGUUUGUUUGAGACUUAGUUGCUAUGGCCAUAUGGUAUACUUCACACAGUUAUGCGGUAGUUCCAAGAUAUAUUUCUUACAAGGCCCUCCUUUUUUCUUAAACUGCAGAUAUUUUACUGGACGUACCAAAAAUUCAGAUGGGACUACUCAAUUUUUGGCUGGAACAACUGGUGUAAAACAGGGAUUUAUGGGGGCAAUUAGAAUUUUAACAAUCGCAGUAUGUAUCGAUAGCUAGUUUUUUGGGUUAUCAUAAGACUGUCAGCUUUUACAAUUUUACCUGAUUGUGCCCUUUUUUUAUAGGUGACUAUCGUGGUUGUUGCUGUGCCUGAAGGACUUCCUUUAGCAGUAACAUUGACGUAUGGAUUGUUUAUAUUUCAUACAAGUUAAAUUAUUGUUUUUAGGUACAUUACACUGCUGUCGCUUCAUUUGGUUUCAGCCUUGCAUAUUCAAUGAGGAAGAUGAUGCGAGACAAGGCUCUGGUAAAACCUUCAGAUAGAUUUACAAAGCAAGCCUUUUUAUAUGGUACUAUAUAUCCUUUUGUAUCAUUAUGGAUUUUUCAUGAUAUUUUAUUCAGGUGAGACGACUAUCAUCUUGUGAAACAAUGGGAUCAGCAACCACUAUUUGCAGUGACAAAACUGGAACUCUUACCAUGAAUAAGGUUGGUGAAGUCAAUAUGCACUCACUACAAAAAUGCCGUUUGUUAUUCCCAUGAUGCUUGGAGAAUAAUGUGCUGUACAGGAUGGUGCUACUUCAUGUUUAUUUCAAUUAAAUCCUAGAAAUCAUGAAUUGUUACUAGUUCCAAGAGCAUGUGUUCUUAUACUUGUACUCUUGUGCUUAACUGUGAAGCCCGUGAUGGCAUAAAGUCACUGACACCUUAAAUUCAUCUAUUUUUUUUGGCACCUUGUUUUUAUUUAUCUUCUAGAUGACAGUUGUUGAAGCAUAUUUGGGUGGAACAAAAUUGGAUCCUUGUUAUAAUGCUGGCAUGAUGUGUACCAGUGUGACAGCUCUACUUAUUGAAGGAAUUGCACACAACACAGACGGGACUGUGUUUAUGCCAGAGGUAAUAAUUCUAUAUUCCUCUGUACUGUUUGCAUAAUUUAGUUGAUACGUUAGAUUGACAUCUAUCUGUUAAGUUUUAUUUAUAUGAAUCACAUGACAUUGAUCCUCUGAUGUUCCCAUAGCAUGGCAAACAAUUGAAUCCAUGUUAGAAUGGCUUUCCUAUCUGUAGGAUGGAGGGGCUGCUGAAGUUACUGGUUCACCAACUGAAAAAGCAAUUCUUUCUUGGGGCCUUAUGGUACUAUGUAUUCACUCAUUUAUUUAGAGUUAUUUCCUCCAAGUUCGUUUUUUGAUCUGGCAAUUUACUUGUAUAGAUUGGGAUGGAUUUCAAGAACGUGAGAUCAAAAUCUUCAAUUCUUCAUGUCCUCCCAUUUAAUUCAGAGAAGAAGCGUGGUGGUGUUGCAGUGCAGGUGGUAAGCUUCUUCUGGUGUACUAAUAAGUUGUGAACGGAAUAAUCUCGUGUUGAACAAGAAAUAAUCAUGUCUGAACUUGAUUAUUUCUAGUGGAACUAAUGAGGCCAUAAAACUAAGUACUUGGCUCCGUGCACAUUUGAACUUUUCAAUCAAAUUGUGUACAGUUCUUGACCAGAUUUCCAGAUCUCAUUAUUAUUCUUAUGCUGAAAAAAUAUUAUCCAAGUGUUUGUUGGAUAAUCUGUCACAUUUUCAUCUGUCCCUGACAACAUUGGUGUUUCUUUUCUUUCUGUUUUUAGGUCUUCUUUAGAAGUAAAGAUGCUGCUAUACUGAAGUUCUAUAACAUGAAUGCUUGUCUUGAUGACAAAAUUUGUUUCGUGAUAAUCUUUCCUCGUCCCUUUUAGAUUUACCUCAUUGAUCUUUUAUUUGUGCACCUAUCUGCAGUCAGAUACUGAGGUUCACAUCCAUUGGAAAGGGGCAGCUGAGCUACUAUUAGAAUCUUGCAGAAGCUGGCUUUCUACUGAUGGUUCAGUUCUGCCAAUGAGUUCUGGCAAGGUAAAUAUGAGCCAGCCUUUUUAGUUCGUUCUGUACUUCUGAUUACUGAAGUACUAGUAAUUUUAAAGUAUUCUUUUCAGCAUAGCGAGAUCAAGAAAUCAAUUGAUGAUAUGGCAAUGAGUUCACUGCGUUGCAUCGCUUUUGCUUAUUGCCCUUGGGAGCCUAAAAUGGUCCCAACUGAAUCUCUAGACAAGUGGAAGUUACCUGAGGAUGAUCUCACUCUUAUUGGAGUGGUCGGGAUAAAGGUAGAUUCUUCUGAGCCUAUGUCUAUUUAUACCACUCCUGAGUAUUUGAAGACUUUGAUAUUACAUCUGCACUUUUUUUAAAAAAAUUUCUUUCCACUGUUUAAAAUUUAGCAAUCCAUGCUCUUUACACUAGCAAACAAAUGUUCAGUUCCAUGUUGCUAGCUGCAUGUUUUUUUAACAGAGUUCUCAUGUCCCAUGAGUAUAAUGAGAAGCUAUUAAGAGUAUAAUGAUGCAGAAACUUGCUUAAAUUCAGUAAUCCAUGCUCUUUACGUGAUACAACUUCAACUAGCAAGGAAAUGUUCAGUUCCAUGUCAUUAGCUGCAUGUUUUCCAACAUCAUUCUCAAGUCCCAUAAGUAUAAUGAGAAUCCGCUCGCUGCAUGUUUUUCUACACCAUUCUCAAGUCCAAAUGUCCCAUGAGUAUAAUGAGAAGCUAUUAAGAGUAUAAUGAUGCAGAAACUUAUUCUUGAUGUCGUGUUUAGAUAUUCUGUGAAGUAACUCCUUUUGUUUAUUAGCUUCUGCAGGAACAUAUUCAGCUCAUAUGUAUUUGUCCAUAAAUUAUAAUUUCCUCGUGAUUGAAUUCAAUAUUCACCCUUCUAUUAAGAGCUUCUUCUACUGUAGGAUCCCUGUCGACCAGGUGUGAGGAGUGCUGUACAAUUAUGCAGUAUUGCAGGUGUAAAGGUUUGUUUUCAUCUGUACUCAUUUAGUCAUUUAUGUUCUACUCUGUACCUUUCUAUGUCCCAUGCAUCUUCUGUAUUUAAGCUUCUCAUUCUGGUCUAAGUUUAUAUUGGUUAAUCUAGAUCAUGAAUCAUGAUCUGUACUUAACAUGUGCAAACGUUUAUCCAUUUUAUGAACAUAAUUUGUUUCUCACAACUUUUAAUGAUUUAUUUUUAAUGCUGUUUGUUCUCAUAUAUAUUUUUUUUUCUUUUUUUAAGGUACGCAUGGUCACAGGAGAUAAUGUUGAAACAGCAAAAGCCAUAGCUUUGGAGUGUGGAAUAUUAGAUACAAAAGAUGCUGCUUCAGAACCUAGCGUAAUUGAGGGAAAAGUGUUCCGUGAGAUGUCUGAAGCUGCACGAGAAGAAAUCGCUGACAAAAUUACAGUAAAUCUCCAUUGAUCUCUCACUCCAGUACUUUAGAUUUUAGGACUUUAUAUGCCAGAAUAAAUGACAUAUACAUUAGGCAUUAGUUGGGCAAAAACAAAAAAAAAACUAGUUGAUUAGUUGGACAUAAUAUAAAACUCAUUGACGACAUAAAGUACCUUUGAAUUUUCUAGUAUCAGUCACUCAACCAACUCUCUGUUUCAGGUAAUGGGAAGAUCUUCUCCCAAUGACAAACUUCUGCUCGUUCAAUGUUUGAAAAGAAAAGGUCAUGUUGUAGCUGUUACUGGUGAUGGCACCAAUGAUGCUCCUGCAUUGCAUGAGGCCAGUCUGCAACUUUAUCAUUUCUAUAAUAGUGUCAAUCUACAGUAUCUUUCUCCUGAUCCUGAACUUUUUGUCAUACAGGCUGAUAUAGGUCUUUCAAUGGGUAUCUCAGGAACAGAAGUUGCUAAGGAAAGCUCGGACAUUAUAAUCUUGGAUGAUAAUUUCACCUCUGUAGUCAAGGUUGUCUUCUCUAACUUGAAAGCAUAACGCAUUCUAACAAAGGCUUGACUUGUCUUAGUAUUACUAUCAUCACAGCAUGCAUUAUGCCUUUUUUGGCAUCACAGUUUGCCAAUGUGGCAUGGUGUGAAAUCACGAAAUCACUUGGUCGUAUCUCUUGUAAUCUUGUUGUUAGUUGGCAUAUGAAUUAAUAGAAUAUGUUAAAGCUUUAUACUUACUGUAUUUUGAGGCCCAUACCCCCCAAAGAUUCUAGUUGAUUUUGACGGUUAUUUGUAACUUUUGUCUAGACAAUAGAAUAUGAAAGUUUAUUUCCAAAUUCUCUUUUGCAGGUUGUUCGAUGGGGCCGGUCUGUUUAUGCAAAUAUUCAAAAAUUCAUCCAGUUCCAACUUACUGUUAAUGUUGCUGCCCUAGUGAUAAAUGUGGUUGCUGCUGUGUCCUCAGGGGAUGUUCCUCUGAAUGCCGUUGAGGUUCGGAUUUUCCUCUUGAUCUGUGCACAAGAAUCUAGGAUAAAUCUUACUUUCAAUUAAUUUUCGUUCUCUUUCAGUUUUAGUCUUUAUUUUCCUAAUGGCCCCUUUGCGCAGUGUAUGGUGACUGUUCUUUCCUUCAAUUAAUACAAAGGCGUGCAACUCUCCUUGGUGUUUGAUCUUUUUAAUUAAUUUCUAUAUAACUAUUUCACUUUUUUUUUCUCGAACGACGUAGGAGAGCUGCGUGUCAUUUCAUUAAGAGAGAAAAGAGAGUACAACAAGUCCGGUUAAGGACUAAAAGCCAAGCACUGAAGACACCCCCACACCCCUACGUAAUGAAGCCUAUAGACGCGCCACAACAACAAGCAUGACCUCAACCAAAGAUCCCCUGACCUAGGCUGUUGGGACCUGCGACCUCACUAGGAGUUCCUGGAGUUUAGUUGCCCCAGCCAUGCCCCAUAUGCUAAUCUCAUCAGCCAUUGUCUGGAGCAGCAAGGAGGUGCUUGGUCUAGCAUUCUCAAAAACACAUGAAUUCCUGUGUUUCCAAACUUCCGAGGUAACCAGGAUAAUUAGCGAGUUAAGCCCUUUUCUUAUCUCCUUAGGCACUGAGCGCAAUGCCUUCCUCCACCCAACAGAAAAGCAGGCCUCAGAAGGUGAGGGUAUCAGGGUUGUCAGAUGUAGAGGUUGGAGGAUCAAGGACCAAAUCUGCCUUGUAAAAACACAGCCAACAAACAGAUGCUGAAUGGUUUCCUCCUUCUGAUCACAAAAAGGACAGGCUUCAUGGUGAGGCAAUCCUCGCUUGGCAAGACGGUCUGCAGUCCAACAUCUAUUGUUGAUGGCUAACCAAAUGAAGAAUUUGCAACGAAGGGGUGCCCAACUCUUCCAAAUCCUCCUCCAGGGAGCAAAUUUAAUGGUUCCUACAAAGAAGGCAACAUAGGCUGACUUGCUGCUGUAAAUACCAUUCUGUGUGAGUUUCCAUCUGAGUUGAUCUGGGACGUCUUGUUGCAGGACAACUCUCUCAACAAGGUCCCAAAUCUGGAGAUAUUCCAAUAAAACCUGAACUGAGAGUGCGCCUUUGAUGUCAGCCACCCAACUUUGAUUAACAAGAGCUUGGGCAACUGUCCUUCUAAUUGUCCUUUUAGGGAUGGCCUUGAACAGGUUGGGAGCCAACUCCUCGAUAGUUUGACCAUUAAUCCACCUAUCUUUCCAAAAAAGAGUGGAAACACCAUUGCCCACAAUAUGGUCGACUGCUACCUUGAGGCAUUAUGAGGAACUUGAAUUUGGAAUCCAACCCAAGGCCGAGAAGGAUCAGUUUUCUGAGCCCACAACUAUCGGAUACACAAUGCGCAGCCAAGAGUUUCUAGAUUAAGAAUCCCCAAUCCUCCAUAUUCCAGGGGCCGCUGAACUCUUUCCCAGGACACUAGGCAGUUACCACAAUUGGCUUGUUCCUUACCUUUCCAAAGAAAACCUCUUCUCCUCUUGUCAAUGGCUUUAAGCACCCACUUUGGCAAAUCAAGAGCUAUCAAGGAAUAAAUGGGAGUGACGGAUAAAACUGCCCUAACCAUUACCAACCGACCUACUCUGUUCAUCAGAGAUGCCUUCCAACCGGGCAAAUGAUCAGCCACUUUGUCAAUCAAGGGAAAAAGCACUUCUUUGGUGGGCUUAUGAAUAGACAGAGGCAAACCAAGGUACGUGCAUGGAAAUUCCUUAAUUGCACAUGACAAGACUUCAGCAGUGAUAAGCAUUUCAUCCUCUGAGCAGUGUAUGGGAGAAACAGAACUUUUCACCAGAUUAGUAUGGAGGCCGGACGCGUGUCCAAACAGGUCAAGAAUGCUUCUGAUCACCUGCAGGUCAGUCCUCCCGGGCCUUAGGAAAAUCACAGCAUCAUCAGCAAAACAGGAGACCCGAUGUCGAGCUUGGUGGACAGCAAGUGGCUGAAGCAAUCCCUCUCUUGCCCCGUACUCCACAAGAGAGUUUAGGACGUCCAUGACUAGAAUGAAGAGCAUGGGGGAGAGAGGAUCACCCUAACGAAGACCCUGACUAUGAAGAAUAUAUUCCCCUGGCUCCCCAUUUACUAACACACGAGUGGACGAAGUUGACAAGAUUAGACUUAUCAUGUCCCGCCAUUUCUGCCCAAAACCCAACUGCCUCAUAACUUCCAGGAGAAAGGACCAUGAAACCGAGUCGAAUGCUUUGGAAAUAUCCAGCUUGAGGAGAAUAUGGGCCUCUUUCUUCAUGUGCAAGGAUUUCACCAUUUGUUGGACAAAUAGGAAGUUGUCAUGGAUAUUUCUUCCCCUGACAAAGGCACUCUGAUUGCUGGAAACCAUUGAGGGCAGCAGAGGGGCAAGCCGGUUGGCUAGAACUUUUGUUACUAAUUUGGCAAAACUGUGAAUCAAGCUGAUAGGCUGAUAAUCCUUGACAUGCAGAGCAUCCAUCUUUUUGGGUAGAAGUGUGAUGAAUGCAGAAUUAAGCAGUCUAAAUUUGAACACAUGCCCUCGAUGGAUAGUAUGAAAUGCGGCCAGCAAAUCCCCUUUGAUAAUACUCCAGCAGGACUUAUAAAAAUGACCAGUAAAACCAUCUAGUCCCGGCGCUUUAUCAAGGGGCAAAUCCCUAACGGUUGCUCAGAUUUCAUCCUCAGUGAAAGGGUCAUCAAGAGGAGAGAGAUCCCUAGGCUGUAAGCCAAUCUCAUCGAAAUCAAUUGAGAAAUUCCGCUCCUCUGCCGUACCAAGCAAUUUAUCAUAAAAGUCCAGGACUGCUUCUUGUUUGUCUUCCAAGGAAGUAACCAGCCAGUCAUCAACUUGUAACUUGGCAAUAAAAUUCUUCUUCUUUCUGAAUCGAGCCUGCUGGUGGAAAAAAGCUAUGUUUGCAUCACCUUCCCGGAGGUAAAGGAUUCUUGAAUGUAGCCAGGCAAUGGUUCGCUCAAGAGAGGCCAAACCAAGGCAGUGAAGCUUGAGCUUCUUGCGCAGCCAUUCCUCACUAGCAGAGCUCGCGAGAGUCCCUUGCAAUCUCAAGCCGAUGAAUAAUCUCCUUGGCCAUUUCCAGCUGCAACUUAAUGUUCCCACUUUCCUUCGACCGCAUUUUUGAAGACCUUUGCUAAGGCGCUGCAGCUUAAGAAAGAGUCGCUCAACUGCGCAAUUAGAUUGCACAGGAGCCUCCCAAUUCUGCUGCACUGCUUCCAAAAAACCUGAAACCUUGGUCCAGAAGCUCUCAAAAUGAAAACGUCGCUUGCCGGCUGUUUUAAUCUUCAGCCCAAGAAUUAGGGGGCAAUGGUCAGACACUCCCGAAGCAGCACUUUGCAUGAUUGAAUAUGGGGUUAUAUCCUCCCAUUCUGAGCAGCAGAACGCUCGAUCAAGCCUUACAAGGGUGGGCGACCGUCUUUCAUUUGACCAGGUGUAUUUUCGACCUAACAGCGGUAUUUCUUUGACCUCUGAGUCAUCCAAAAAGCGUCGAAAUCUACCCAUCAUGGCUCUGUCCAGAUUAUCAUUGUUCUUGUCUGCUGCCAGGUAAAUUAGAUUAAAGUCACCUGCAAGCAACCAUGGGCCAUUGCACAGGCCCCUGAUGUUUCUAAGCUCCUGCAAAAACAGUAACUUCUCUUCAUCUUCUUGAGGGCUGUAAACUCCUGUGAACCACCAGUUACGGCCUUCCUGUUCAGAGAACAGAACUGAGACUGAAAAUGAGUCUACCCGAGUAGCGAUGGCUUGGCAGGCGUUGCUCUUCCAAGCAAUCAGAACCCCGCCCCUAGUUCCAUUAGCCGGUAAAGCAACAAAUUUAUCAAAGGACGAGCCAAAAACUGAGAGAAACAAGCGCUGAUUCAUAGACUCAACCUUAGUCUCUUGAAGGCAAACUAUCUCAGCAUUGCUCGAGAGUAUGACAUCCCUGACUUUGUUGCGCCUAUCUUUUCUAUUGAGUCCCCGCACAUUCCAAAUCAAAAUUGAGGAAGGAUUCAUCUUCGGAAGCAAAAAGAGGCGACCAAACAAACAAACUAGAGGGAGGCAAGCAGGUCAGCAGAGCGUGCCUGCUCCCCCUCCUCCACUGUCCAGCCGAAGAUUGCCGCUAGAGCCGAGACAUGAGAUUCAGACAGGAGCUGUCCUUAGAGCUUGCCAUAUUCAUCCUGGGCAGCAACAUCAAUCUUCUCUUGCAGACCAAAACCAAGGCUCCCACUGGUCUCGAGUCCGGCGCAUGCAUAAAGGGGGCGGGACCCGAAGCAACAGGAGUUGAAGGCCCUGUCGCGCAAUCCUCCGGGACGAGACUCGAAGCACCUUCAAUGUACCGGGCCGGGUGUUGGUUCCCAUCUUCUAAAAUUUUAGUGACUAAGGAACUGUUUGGAUACACCGUGUUAAACUUUAACAGGGUAUUAAAGUUUAACACCUCAAAUGGAGUGUUAAAAUUCAACACAUUGGGGUGUUUCCCUCCUCUCCUUUGCCCCUCUUGCUCGUCGAGGCUGCAGCGCUGGUUGGAGGCCGCCCGCCGCCGCCCGCCGCCCGCGCGAGGCCGCUUGCUAGCCGCGGGGGCCGGAGGGGAGGAGCAAUGCGGACCGGCAGUGGCGGGCACAACGGCGGCGUGCGACGGGCCGACCGGCGGCGGCGGGCACAGGCGCACAGCAAAGGGAGCGCAGAGCGGCAGCACCGCACGCGGAUCGGGGGAGGAAGAUGGGGGGCAGCGGAGGAGAGAGAGGGGGCAACCAGGGGAUAUGUGAACUAGGGGACCACUUGUAACACCUUUAGCAAGUUUUAACACCCCCUCCAUGUAUUUAUAAAAAAUGGGGUGUUAAACUUCAACACAACUCUUUUAACACAACUGUUUGGCAGCCAAUGUGUUAAAAAGGUGUUAAAAGGGGUGUUAAACUUUAACACCCCCUUCCCAAACAGAGCUAAAGGUGACUAAAAAGGGACUAAAGAGCCAAAGGUGACUAAAAAGGGACUAAAGAGCCAAACAUCUUGACUAAAACUGACUAAAAACUUGAGGCUCCAAAUCUUUUAAUCCCUUCAUCCCGUCCUAAAAGUGACUAAAACCGACUCCCACUACCUCUUAUUUAUUGUCCCCCCCUCUCUCUCACCUUUUAGGAGGGCAGCAUGGUCCUGUAACCAAACAACCUUUAAUCCAUGGACUAAAGUGGGACUAAGGGGGUGUUUACUUCCACUUGCUAAACUUUAGUCGCUAAAAGUUGCUAAACUUUAGCAAAAGCUGUUUGGAUACUCUUGCUAAAAUGCAUUUAAUGAGCUAUAAAAGGACCUAUCUACCCUUAUUAAAGGUGCUCAGGAGGGGGGAGAUAAGCAAUAAAUGAGGGGUAUAUGUUGUCCAGCCCACCUUUUAGCAAGUUUUAGCAACCAAAAACUUGCUAAAGUGCUAAACUUUAUCAACUCAACUUUAGCAAGUUUUAGCAAGGGUGUUUGGCAGUUUAGUAGCUAAAAGUUGCUAAACUUUAGCGUCUAAAGUUUAGCAAGGUGGACCUCUAAAACUUUUUAAAAGCUAAAAAUUUUAGAAAGCUGCAACAGCCCAGUGUCACGCCCGCCGCCACAGCAGUAAUUGCCAUGGGGAUCGAAGGGUUGGGGUCAGCAUCGUCUCCUCCCGGUCUCGAGUCCGGCGCAUGCGUAAAGGGGGCAGGACCCGAAGCAGCCGGAGUCGAAGGCCCAGUCAUGCUUCCCUCCGGCUCCGGGACGGGACUCGAAGAGCCUUCAGUGCUAACCUCCUCGGUUCUUGGUGAGAAUGACGCCGUGGCAGCUUGAUGUGGGCCACAGUCUUCACCCGAAGCGGGGGCUCUGGGUCCCAGGCUGUCAUGCAUCGGGAUCUGCGCUCCUCGACCCUCACCGGAGCAGUCAGCCGGCGGGGGAGGAGACGGCGAUCGACGACGGCGCUGACGCCUUGGACCAUGGCCAUCACCCUCAGAGGAGGAAGACGAACCAGAGGCGCCCUCUCCCUCAGCUGGGAAGAUGACAGCAGUAGAGAUGCUGAUGUUGUAGCAAAGACUUCUCUUGAUCGGUGGCCACUCAUCGUCUCCAGUGGGCGGCUCAACAAUUUCCAGAACUUGGCCGAUGGAAUUGCUUCAGGUUGGGAACACUAGGCCAAGAGCUUGAAGGAUGUCAAAUCCGAACGAUCCACCGUCUCAGGAAGAAGACGGAGUACCCAGCAGUGCUUGUUCAAGAGAUGCUCAGCCGUCCUUAGAUUCCAUGCAUGCUGUGGAACACCCCUUAGCGUCAAAUUCACCAAUACUCGAAAAGAACCAGCUUCAGCAUGAGCUUGCCGUGACCAGCGUUUCAGGUGAAGUCUGAAUGUCGGUGCUCUGAUGGGUCUGCCAUUCCCAUAGACACGCGACGCUGUUUGCUCAUCCGGCAGGACGAGCGGGAAGUCUUCAAGCUCCGCCGGCGUCAGGGAGGAGGAGCUAGCAAGCAGCUCGAAUCGACUCACAAGCUCAGCCAUCACCAUUUCCUUUGAGAUCGCCGCCCGCUGGUGAUGACCGAGACGAAGAAAGCAUGCCGGAGAGAGUCUUCGGCCCGGGUCAUGUCACUCGACCAGUCAAGGACGCACCUCUCGACUGGUGGCGCGCCUAUGCAUGGUGAAGCAGUGGCCAUGGACGGCGCCAAGGGCCCUGUGGGUUGAGAAUCAUCGUCGCCGCCACUGUCAGGGUCUUCAGUUCCCGCGGGUAGAUGAGCGCCUGCGCCUGUUCCUUCUUCGUUGCCUCCCAGCGCCACCCGUGCCGCCGGUUUCUGUACCGGCAGUCGUAUGCCGCCCUUGAACCUGGGCACACGACACCUCGAUGGGAGCCGAGAUGCGCCGCCAGACCGAGACUCUCCUUGGGGCAGAAGACGAUCGGAACACCGCAGCGCGGCAUCCAGACGACGCCGGUGCCCGGGCCGGAGGGGCUCCGUUCUCCCGGCGAGCCGGACAGCAGGACGAGCGAUGCCUAGGCCACCGGCAACGAAAACAGCAUGUUCGCGGAUGGGCCGUGGAGAAACAGUUGAAGCACUUGUUCCUCAAAUCCUCCGGGACCUGGCGGCGGCCUCCAUGAACGGGGCGGCACAUGCCAGAGCCGCGGCAACGUCGCCUCCGCUACACCAUCUGGAAUCCAUCCGCAUCCGGACCACGACUGGCCAAGCGGCCAUGGUGUACCUCGGAGCGGAUGGUGCCCACGAUUACUGACCUGAGCUGGCAUGGCGGGCGCGGCUGCUCCCUCACCGGCGGCCGGUCGACCGGCAAAGCAAAAGACUCCAUGGACACCGCAGCAGCGGCCGAGUCGGCAGGGGCAAGCAGCACGUCGCGGUAGGAGGCCCUCCCAGUAUGGAAACGUCCGAGGUGGGAGAGCCGUCGCUCCAGCGCUCCACCUUCAAGCGUCCCGCCGGCUUGAAAGGUUGCGCCAAAGGAGAGAGGGGAGAGAACGGGUAAGCCGACGCCGGGGGAAGGGGCUGGGAGGUUGACCGUGAGGAGUGCACGGCCUUGGUGGUGUCUGCCGGCUCCGGGGUGGACACCGGCGGGAGGGGAAACGAUAGGAGCCAUCUCCUCUCUCCUAUUCCACUUUUUACAGGAGUAGUUUAGCUUGUCAUGUGCAUGAAAAGCAUAAUGAAAAAUCCUUUCUGUUUAUUAGAAAAAAUUGUUACCGAUUAUUACAAUAGAUUGCUAUUCUUUUUUAAAAAAAUAGUAAACCAAUUAAUUUAGACCUUGCAGGAAUUUUAUUUGGUGCAUUUCUUGCAAAUUAUGGCAAAUUAUGUUCAGUUUGUUUUCGUCUACUUAAUGUACACCCUUGGCAGCUUCUUUGGGUCAACCUUAUCAUGGACACACUGGGAGCUCUUGCAUUGGCAACUGAACCACCAACAGACAACCUAAUGAAGAGGCGUCCUGUUGGCCGAAGGCAUGGCACAGCAUCCUUGAUAGCUAUGAGCACCUUUGUUUUGUGUACUCUGUUCUAUUAUGUAGUUAGGUGUUGUGCAAAAAGCAGUAUUGAUAUACUUCUAAUUUACUUCUGCAGGGAACCUCUUGUGACUAAUGUUAUGUGGAGAAACCUCUUUAUCCAGGUCUCUUAGUUGCUCAUCUUUAUGUAUUGAAGUAUGUCCUGUUGAAUGAGCUCGUAUACAUUUUCACAUAUUGAUUUCAUUGCAGGCUCUUUACCAGAUAGCAGUUCUUCUCAUCUUCAAUUUUGAUGGCAAAAGGAUUCUGCGUUUACAGAAUGAAAGUAGGGAGCAUGCUGAUAAAAUGAAAAAUACCUUUGUCUUUAAUGCAUUUGUCUUCUGCCAAGUAAGUUGGUUGCUCUCCAAUUCAAGAUUUCAGUAAUAAGAUUGUUGUCAAUUUUUAGGCUAUACGCUAGCUAUAUUUCUACUUUGUUAUUUGGAUAUACCCCCUGUAAAUUUAUACCAAAGUCAUUUGUGUUCUAUAGCUUAUUAGCGGCUUGGCAAGUGUUAUAUUAUAUCAUGGUACGUAUUCUUAAUUGUUUUCCCAUAUCUGCUGUGCCAUUUGUGUCAGAUCUUCAAUGAGUUUAAUGCCCGUAAGCCUGAAGAGAAGAAUGUCUUCAAGGAAGUUACAAACAACCACCUUUUCAUGGGCAUAGUGGGUGCAACUACUGUGCUUCAGGUAAUAUGCUAUUUGAAUGCUUUUACAUGGUUUGACAGAGCGCAGGUAUUAACACUCUCUAGCAGAUAUUGAUAAUUGAGUUCCUUGGGAAAUUCUUCGAUACUGCUAGACUGAAUUGGAGACUAUGGCUGCUGUCAGUUGCUAUCGGUGCAGUGAGGUAUGCAAGCAUGCUACUUUUGUCUCACUCAAAAUACCUACAGCGUGGCUUAGUGUUCCUUAUGCCCAAGUAUUAUUUCUGGUUAAUGUCAAACCAAACAGUUUGUAAUGCUAACCUUGAAGAAUGAAUGCAUAACUACAAUGAUGUUGAACGUUAACACAUUUGCAUCAACCUAAGUGUAUAAACCUAGCUUGCAGUUAUGUUCUCUGCUACGUCAGUGAACAACUAGAAUACGCAUGACUGCCGGCUAGAAUCAACAUAUCCUUUACAGUACUCUUUCACAAGCUCUGAAUCUGAUUCGAUGACAGCCCAAUCAUCCUCGGUUCAUUUACGUCUCUCACUCAUAACUACAUUCUGAUGAUCCGUGCCCUUUUUCAAUCCAGCUGGCCCCUCGCCUAUCUUGGGAAAUUCAUUCCCGUGCCUGCCAGGCCUUUCCAAAGCUACUUCAAGCGGUGUUCUUGUCGUGGAAGAAGACCACACCAAGGUAAUUCACGAGCGUAUGUCUAAACCCCCGAUCAUUUGCCAUUGAUUAUCUGCAUUCACUCAGCAAGCUUACACUAGUCCCUGCCUGCAUUAUUGCAUUGCACGUUGUAGAUGAAGAGCAGGGCGUCAAGAGCUGAGGUUUAGCAGGGAUGCUGGCAAGUGCAGCAAACCUGCAGCUGAACGGCGUUUAGGAAAAGGCCGUGGCGUUUGUCUGAACAGCAUUUUCUGAAGCAGCUGCAGGCUGUGCUGUGCAACUACUACCCUUUCCAUUCUUUGCAAAUUUGUUGAAACUAGACCUACAUUGCCCAUGAAUUUCCAUCUAGUUGGCUUAUUGGUUAGCUAGUUGUGUUGCGAACUGCAGUUGCUGUCCCCUCUAAUUAUGCUCGUUUGUCAUUUCUAUAGUCGGCCUCAGUGCAGCAAUGCGAUGCCUGAUCAGGAACAAUUAAGAAUCGAGCACGCCAAUGCCUGAUCAGGAGAAUAUACUCACGAUCCGGUCCCUGGGAGCCUAACAGGAAUGUUCAACAAAGCAGGGUCUGAACUGCAAAACAUCCCUCGUCAAUCAUCAGUUCAUCACUCACGUCUUUACCGUUGCACGCAGUCAUGCGCCACCACUGACUUGGUCAAUGGCGGGACCGUGGCCUCCCCCACCUGGACCAAGCGGGCCAACAGCGGCAUCGUUCUCCCGGGGCCCAACGCCCAUGGCGCGACGCCAGUUCUGGGUCCGGCCGGGGACCACCUGCCGCCGUGCUUUGUUAGCUCAAACGUGCCCCCAGGGCCCAGGGCCGCCCAGUCGCCCACAGAACGCAAUUGCCCGCCGUCGGCGUGAAGGCAUCAACCUGCCGACGCAAUGAUUUCCAUGAAAGAACAGGUAGAGCUCACGCAUUUCACAGUUUCCGCAGCAACAGGUAGACCUCAUGCUCAUUUUACAGCAUACUUGCAAUUCUUUGCUCCUCGCUGUUAUACCAAAUUUCAAUCCCCAAACAAGUAACCAACAUACAACACACGACUAAUUAAUAUUCCUCGUAACAAAACCUUAACUAGUGUACAUCAUGUCAACUCGAGGUACUUGUAUAUGCACCCAGAGCGCAGCACUGCCCAGCGGCUAGCUUCAGCCGAUCUUCUUAUUAGCGACGGUAGAAAAGCCAUGCUAGCAGUAGCAUUUGUAUGCGAGGUGGUUCUUGCUGGAGAUGUAAGUGGAGAUGAAGUCUGAAGCCUGGGUCGAGGCGCUAGGGGAAGGCACGAGGAUUUGGGUACGGCCCGACGCGAUCCUCUUACCGGUCACGUGGCCAUAGAACAGGCCGGCGAUGGCUGGGACGAACACGUCGCUCUGGGAGCAGAUCUCGAGGUCCAGAGCCCUCGCUAGGUCGGCGUUGCUGGCUUUCAGGAACUCGCCUUUGUUCUCAGCUGGUAUUAUGUCAUCCUGUGGGAACACAAAACUGCACUAGUUAGUUUACCUGAAAAGAAUAGUUGUGUUUGUUUUCCUAUGCAAUCUAAGACAAGCUUUUUUUUGUCUGUUAGCAUAAACAGAAUACGAUUGACAGCUUUUAUACCAUGGUAAGGGAACAGGAGAUUAUCUCUCACUGUGUAGCAUUUAGGAAGAAAUGCUUGGGAGAAAACAAAAUAUAAUUGACAUUAAUAAGACGCGGAGUAAGUUCCUUGCCUUGGUAUAGGUGUUUGGAAAUUCUUCCUUCAGAUCAUUGAGGCCUUUGUGCCACCAGGUCUCAGUCAAGUAGAUGGUUGUAUUAGCAGAGAAGCCAACACUCCUCAGGAAACCCAAAACCUCAUCAGUGUUAUAGCAGCCUUUUCUUCUAGCGCCUCUGGUUGUUUUGCAAGCCUUCUUUUCUAGCAAGUCGGUCCGCAAAUCAAUUGCCAAGACCUUCCCAUCUGAUUUCUUGCUUAAUUCUUUAAGACCAUCCAGCAUUUUUCUGGCCACUUCAGAAUAUUCAUGUUUCAAUUCGAGGCCACUGAACAUUGCAAGGCAAGCAGUCGCAUCCAAGUCCUUGUUAUUAGUCUCCCUCGGUCUUAAACUCACUGAGGAGAAAAUGACCGCAAGUCUUAAGUAGUUGUUUGUUUGGAAGAUGGGCUGGAUGGUGUCCGUGAUGAAGCUUUCAGUCACUCGGUUUGGUACUCUAAUAAGUGCUGGCUUCUUAGCACUCACUUCAUCAGGUAGUUCCUCUAUUACUUCGACAACACCUUCCAAGUUUCUCAUGAAUUUAUCCACAUUGUACAUGUCUUGGAAUUUUCUGUUCAUAAAACUUAUGCCAUUAGUUGAGAUGGACAAUAAUGGUCACAUUUAUGAAAAUAGUCGUGAAUUCCUAGAGUAAAGGCUCAUACUGUAUGCACAAAAUGUUGCAGCAUUUACGUAUCUGCAACAGGAUUUAUCUUAAGGAACUGAAAGUCAUCUUCUUAUCAAAGAAGCAUACCUCUUGUUUCCUAAUUCAUUUCCUCUUAUAUCUGGAAGUACAAGUGUUGCACCUAGAUACCUUGCAACAACCACAGCAUCUGUGAUCUGCAUAUGAAAAUUGUGGAAUGGUGUUCCAUGAAUUCAAUCAAACAGAAAAGCAGACACAUGGCUUUGUUUUUGCUUAUAUGAGAAAUCAUGCCAACAAGUUAAGAGUUAGAGGUUCACCUGUGAGAUGUGAUAUUCUGGUCCCAUAGUCAAGGAGAAUGUCACGUAACCAUUAGAUGGUUGAGUUUCUACAGAAAUCAUAUUAGUUAGUAUCAGUAACCACUUUUUUUCAGGAAAAGAUUCAGAUCUGAAGAACUUAUAAAAUUUAAGAAUGGAUUAUUACUUACUUGGACUUGGUAUGGUCCAGCAAGGUUUAACCUCCUCAUCAGCAUCCAUUAGGUUCUCAACUCCACCCGUAUUGAUAUUGCUCAUUUCAGCAUUAUCGUCAAGCUUCAUUGUGUUAAACUCUGCACCUGUUGCCUCCAAGCCCAGCUGUUCACAAACAUGGAUUCCGGUUACAGCAAGCCUUGAUCAGUUGAAAAGACAAAUCCUCUCAAUAACCCUGAUCUAUCAGAUACUGAUAAUAUCACUACAUCAGCUCCCUAGUCUGCAAGAUUAUGCAGAUAAUUCAGCGGUUUGGCAAAUUAGAUGCAGCCGGUUAGUUGAGGACACCUUUUAGCUUUUCAUUGUUGGAGAGACUGAUGGAACUAUCUUAAAUCUUAAAAUGCGAUGUAGGAUAGUGACUGUUUGCAAAGAGAUUUAAGAAUAAUGACUUCCCCCUUUUGCUUUAUAUCCACCCAAUUGGUGUUUUUCUUCUCAAGGAUGUGGCCCACCAUCAGGCUUUUUCCGGGGACGCUCCCGAUAAUGUGUUGUUUACAGAUACCGAGAUUCUGAUUCCUUUGACUUAAGUACCUAAUAACCUCGGGGCAACGUGCUAAUGGACUGGAAUUGAAUAAUAUAAACCCUAGCUAAGCCCCAGAAGUCAAGGCCGCAGAACAGUGCGAGAUCCCCCUUCAGUAUUGGAUCCCCAAAUCACUUCAGAUUUGCAAGAACUAAACCGAAAUGGAAAUCCUAAUCACACGCCGCACUCCACACAGACCAGCAACGGGACCAAUCGCCGCCAUCCAUGUCCCCUCACACAAACAACACGGAUUAUAGUAGAAGAAACAAAGUGCCUGAUUCUCACUCACGGCGAAGUUGCCACGCAACCACCAAAUCAAGAACCAGCAAGCUACCACCGGACCCCAUGAGAGGAAAUCGAGAGAGAGGGGAAGGGGAGAUCCUUGGAGGAAGGGACGAACCUGGGGGCCGGGGGAGGAGAAGUGGUCGUGCUUGAUCAUGUUGCCGAGCAUGACGAACAUGGAGAGGGUGAGGAACCCCGCCACCACCUGCCGCGGGUCGACCGCCAUUAGCGCGGAGCCUGAGCCGCGCCGGCUGGGGGAAGUGGAAACAGGGGGAGGGGAGUGGAGUGGAGUGGAGUGGAGUGGGGGAGCCGGGAGAAGAAGGCAAGGAGCGGGGCGACCACCGACAGGGAGCGCGAGAUGGCGACAGUGCGAGGCAAGCACGGUCCGCACGCGGGGGUGCCGGCUCAGCGCUAGUAAAAGGUGGCUUUGGGUUCGGUUUGGCUUGGCUGGUGGCGGAGUAGCCGGCGGGUAUCCCGGCGUGGCGAGGCCGGGGUGGACGAUUUUGCUGCGGAUUUUUGUUAUUCUGAAUCUGACAGGUGGGCCCUGAGGGUAGCAGUCACGGCUGUGAUUUCUCCUCUCUUGUUGACUUGACCAUGUGGAUAAAAUGCAGUACUACUUAUACUGUGCUAGAUUAUUACUGGCUGAGCAUGAUUUUUGCAGUUUGGGAUAAGAAUGAGAUCCGAGCAUUAAUAUGCAAAGAUGCUGAGAUUAAACAAUCUUGAUUUGACAGUUUAAGUUGUAGUAAAUGUAGUUCGUUCUCGAAGAUAGAGUACUAAACAGCUGUAGCGCGGCUUAUACAACGGUGGUGGCAAGUAUGGCUCUAUUGACGCGUACUGUAGCUGUACUUUUUGCCGUUUUGUUUGAGCAUUGCUCUUUCUUACUGCGUAGGAAGAGAGGAGAAACUGGUCCCGGACUGAAAACAGAGAAGAGCCCCGGAAGGCCAGGACCAAAAGCACCCUCCGCGCGGCGCGCGCCGUCGGCCGUGGCAUGCGCGCGCGCGCGAUCCAGCACGCGCUACCCGCUCGUCCUCCCCCGUUGGGUUCGGCUUCGGUCACAGCAGUACAGCACGUGCCUCCGCGCCCUCGGGAGUCAACCGAGGACGAGCCAAGAGUGCGCAGCAACUGGCGCUGGGCGCACGAGCCGCCAGCGCGCGGUCGUCGCUGGCCCGUUGCUACGUCGCCGCUGGCCGCUGCUCCCGAGUCCCGACCCGACCUGGCGUGCUCUGUGCUCAGUCCGAUCAAUCAACACGCCAGAGUGCCAGACCAUAGCAUAGCACAACUCUGCCGAUAAAGUUUCAGUCAGGUCAUGCCUCGAGCGUUUUCUGCAGACCAGCAACGUGCAUGCACCAUUUGCGCAUGAUAAGGUGCAACAAAAAUGCUACUUCUAUAGAUCAAAGCCAACAAUUCUCCCCUAGUACGGCGGGGCAGUACCCAAUAAUACACAGCUCUGCCCAACUAACCACAGGCACAGAGGCAUCUCUCUGCUCACACACAAACACUGCGUGCAGCCGAGGUGAUUGCUGUAAAAAAGAAAAAGCAGCAGCAAUAGUACAAGUGUACGACAAGCCACAAUUCACACGUCGAUCUGUUCAAUUGAAAAAAAAAAAAAGGCACUCGGCCAGCAAACUUUGAUGAAUUCUCAAUCGACGUGGAUUUUACUGAGGUUAUAUCUUCAGCAAUUCACUUUCAAUGAUAUGUUUUCAAAGCUUUCCUUUCAUGCACUUUGUGUUUGAACGCACAUAAUCAUCAACCAGGAAAAAAAAACCACGCGACACAUACCAUUAUUCUACCAUUCACUCUUUCUUUGGCACCUUCAAGAGAGUGAACGCAGCGGUGACAAAAGAGCCUUCUCGAUUGAUGUUUGCUCACCAGUUGCUGGGGAGUUCUUCCCGACUGGCCAACUUUAUUACGAUUUCCACUGCCCAUUGAUGAGUUGCUUGAAGCGUUCCGGAGUUGUUCGAGAGAAAGCUCAGACAUGCCUUCGUUUUCUCGUCGUGCAUAGGGUUGGAUACAUCCUCACACGGCACUUGGCUUGCAGCACCGAUCUCCAAUACAGGAAGAAACUUCUCCUCCUGUAUGUUGGAUCCCAUCCUCUGAUUUUCUUCCGCGCAGCUUGUGGCAGAGUUCAGUAAAAAUAAUUAAGGAUCGUAGAAACUAGAAACCCAUAGCAUCCUUAUUUUUGCAACUAGCCAGGAACACACUCCAAAUGGUACAUGCAUGUUAUUUUGCACUACUAGUUCAAAAGAUAUCAUAAUCUAUUCAAAAUUAUUAAUUAAAAAUAAAACAUCAGAUACAAAGGGUGUUUACUAGAAUGUAGGCUAGUAGCUGAUUACCACGCCCAAGGCGCAUGAUACACUACUGAACGAGCAAUCUGCAUGCAUAACAUAGCAACUGAAACAUGCUUCUGCUAUUGCCUCUGAUGAUUAUUCACAGUGCAAGUUUGCUUCAUCAGGAUCUAUCUUACAAGCACCCAGUAAUUUUUUCUGAUUGCCAAAAUUGUUCAAUAACAGUAAAAGCAGUCAAAGAUCAUGCUAGUUAGAGAAAAACAAAAUGUACCGAGCCCCAUUUUCAGGUCUCACAUUGGAUGUAUUUGGCGAAUCUGAACAAUCUACACAAUUCAGCCAUGGCUGAGCCAACUUUAAUUUUCUUUUAACGUUUUAUUCUGUUUCUCCCUUUUCUUUGGUUAAACGCCAGAUGGGAACAUUGUAGUCUCUCUACUAUAUUAGUGUGUGACAGUCUGACAGAUGUAAAUCAUCUGUCAUUGGAGUACUAGCGAUUGCAAAUAUACCACUUGAUUUUAAAGGCAAUUCAAAGGCGUGCGCAGAGGACAUCACAUUGCCAAUUUAGAAAUUUCCUGUUCUUUACAGGAUUCGAAAUGAAGAAAAAUAUCCUUGCAAAAAAAAAAGAAAUGAAGGAAAAUAUAAACAUUUCCAAUCAGGACAAAAUACAGAUACUCUGGCUGCUCUUUUCUUUUUGCCAUCGCAAAUUCGCAAUAUGAUUAGUCAUAACAAUGGAUUUGAUAAAUAUUACACAUAUAUCAUCUCCAAAUUAUAAUCAAAAUGACUAAACAAGACAGCCAGAGAGAUAAGAGGUAAAAUAGGUCUCUGCAUAUUAGUAAAACUUAAUAGGACAUUUUCUCUCUAGCUGACCAAUUGCUUUCAGAUUAAUUCACAGAAUACUAAGAUCUAGCUUGGACGAUACCCUUUUGUGAAAGGUUUGCAUUAUUACAGCCAAAGGAUUUUCUGAACAUGCAAGAGAAAUACAGAAAUUGAGGCAUCUAGUUCCUGCUAUAUGUGAUACAAUACCAUACGAUACUGUUUGUUUGUAGUGUGAACAGCACCUCACUGAUGCAAACAUGAAGGGACUUUGCAAAAAAAAAAAAAAAAACCAAGGUAGAAACACUGCAGUAUUAGUUGAAUAUCGUAUUUACCUUUUCCUCUGCAGCAUGUAGGUAAGUUGAUCCUGUAACUGCCACGGUGGCAUCUAUACCCAAUGUGUUUGCAUGAAAAACCAAUUAGGGAGGUGGCACAAAGGUAUGUUGGAGCAUAGUGUUAUACAAACUUAAACAGCAGAAAACAAGACACGGUAAAAGAAUACCUAACCCUACCAAGCAAGUUACAGAAGUCCUAUCGGCGAUUAGUCUUACUAGCAACUUCACCGCAUUAAUUCUUGUGGUCAUGUGGGGCAUGUUCAGAAAAAUUGGGACAGGGAAACAAAAUUUGUGGCACACCUUUCUACUCAUGCAUGCUUUAGCAAUUUCAAGAGCCUGAACGCCCCAAUAGCAGCAGUGCUAAAGCUCCUUUUGGGUUGAUUGCUUGUAAGUGCUGCGAUUCUUCCCACUGAACAAAGUUUAAUUGGAGUAGAUCCAUUGACCAUUGGGAACCUAGCCUCUGCUCUUGCAUAGGCUGGAUACACUCUCAGAGGACAACGGGUUCGUAACACUGAUCUCCAAUACGGGAAAUAACUUCUCCUUGCAUAUGUGGGAUUCCAUCCGCCACCUACUUCUGUUCUUGCAGCAUGUAACAUAUUUCAAUAAAGUUACAAUCAAAUAGCAUGCUCAAAUAACACAUGAUAAGCUGUUGUUGAACCAGGACAAGACAUGGCACAAACAUAACAAGCGAAACAUACUUAUGUUAUUGCCUCGAAAGAGGUUGCACUGCACUUUCCUUUAUCAGCAUCUUUCUCACAGGCACCAAACAAAUUCCAGAUGCAACAAAUUAUUCAACAACACUAAGGUGUUAAAAAUAACAAUAAUGUGCCAGACUGACAUUCUCCAUCACAUUAGCAUGGCAGAGACGAAUCGUAGUUGGAAUGCUGUGGCAUUGCAAUAUGAUGUGUAUUUGUCUAUUUGGAAGCAAUUCAAAGAAAUGUAGUUUGUCGAGUUGGGACAUCAAUUUCCUUAAGUAAUUUUGAAGUUGAUGUAAAUAAAAAAAAUGGAACAGGAAAAAGGCAUAAAUUCCUGUAGCUUUCUUUCUUUUUGCGACCACAGUGUUACUUAUUACCGUUCUAACUGAAACAAGACCAAAAGCAGUUAUCACAAGAUCAAGCACCCACACACCCAAAAAAAGGGAAAAUAGAUGUUAGCAUAAUGCAAGUAAAGCAAAUACAUUUAACAUCUAGUUUACCUAUUACUUGCAGAUUUGUUCACAGGGUAAGUUCUAGGACAAUCCCUGACUUCAAACAGUUUGCAUUGUUCCAUAAUAAAAAUUAAAGUACUGAAUUGAAGCAUGUAGACCAUUACAGAGAGUAAACAUUGCCAAGGCCAAGAUCUUUCUUGUUGUAUGUGUGUGUGUUGGGGGGGUGGGGUGGGGGAGACUGCAGAUGAGAAAUUGACAACAGCUUUGCGUCUCUAAUAAAGAGAUAAAUGGUCAUGGCUUAUAAUAACUUAUAAGCACCAGCCCAUAAUAAUGAACUAGCAACCAAAUCUAACUUGAUACCAAACUAAACAUGCAAGUGACUAAUCUGAUGAUAAUAUGCUACAUUACCCACAAUAUUGUUUAUGCGAACACCUCAUGAACUGCAUCUCACAACAAAACAAGGCAGUUUGCAAAAAAGAUCAAGAAGCGAAGAUAGAGAUUCUCCAAUACAACAACAUUUAAUUAUCUUUACCUUUUCCUCUGCAGCAUGCAGAAUAGCCGUUUCCAUAACUCCUCUGUUUGCACCUACAAGUCCAUGACAAAAAAAGGUUAGGGCUGAUUUUUUGUUAAAUGGAUAAAGAACCACUUGCGCUCAACACACCUUUGCUACAUGACUUUUUGUCUGACAUUUUGCAGUCAUAAGGUUGGCUUCAAGAAAAAGUCCAAGACAAAAUAAAAUAAUCAACAAAAUAAACAUGUAUUUGCCAAGAAAAUUAUUGUGUGAAGCAGUCGUGUUGCAGCAAGUCCUGUGCUCAUGUGGCCGCAAGUCUUAGUUCUGAUGGCCGAGGGGUUGUGCUGUUCGCCUAGUCGGUGCACCUGGUCGCGGCAAGUCUUGGUCGUGGUGAUCACCUUACUGGUGGAGUGGCUGCAAAGAAAUAUAAUCAUGACUGUGUUCUGGGUUUGCUUGUAGGAAGACAUUGUGCUUACCAUACAGCGUAGUGCUUGAUAUUUCAGGGUGAAGUGCAUUUCUCUUAUGGUUUUAUUUAUACCUAAUCAUAGGUUUUCCCUGUAGCUAAUUAUAGGUUGCAGGUUAUUUUGCUAAUUUCAGUAAUUUGCAACAUGCUGCCUUGGAGCAACUCUGAAUCUGAAGUAAACAAACUGAACCUAUGUUUCUAGGUUUCUUUUUUUUAUAAGAAUGUGUAUUGUAAAUUUAUAAGAAACUAAUAUUUAGCAAAACAUUUUGUAUUCUGCUAAAAGUUUUGAGAAGCUACACAAUUUUCAUUUGAAUGUGCAAGGUUUACAUAUAAUUAUUUUGUUUGUUUUCUUAUGGGAUGAUGACUUUAAUACUACAAAAGGCACGAUAUCUCUACUUGCCAAUUCUCUGCUACUGAUCAUUCCCCUCUAUAUUUUUUUCAUUCUUUUCUACGGACCAGGUUGCGCACACUAAGGAUGACAAGAGAUUACAAACCGAGCUGUAUAGCUCAUUGCUUGCUUGUGGUCUGCAAAUUGUAUGUCAUGCCAUUUUCUGCUUCUUGUCUACUGUUUUGAUUCUCUAAAAUGAUUGAGCAUGCACUAUUAUAGUCAUUGUAUAUAGAUGUUCGUGCUAAGAGAGCUGUUGUUUAGCCUAUCAGGAGGGUACCACAUUUCAGUUAUCUCCCAUUUUCUAUUCUAUUACUACCAUCUCGCCACCUAGUUUUUGCACCUUUUCAAUUGGUUGGUAUGCAGUACCAAGUUUGAAUGUGGAUAAUUUUAUUUUUUUGGUUGGGAAUACUCAUCACCGGUAGGCAAUUUACGAUAACUUGUGCAGUUCUUAAACUAUCAGAUAAAUGAAACCGGAGAAAAUGAACGUGUGCUAUGGUAAGAAGCCAUUGACUUGUACAUCGAUUACAAAUAUAACCAGGACUUACUAUUCAGUUACAAUUAUAUAUUGCAAAUUUGGUCUCACGUACUUCAUUGUUUCAGCCUGACAGGAAAGAUGAGCUCACAAGGAUUGAGCCCACAUGAGGGAAGUCAUCAUUGGGGUGGCCAAUGAGCUGGUACACUUCAUUUUGUUUCAGCCUGAUAUUCAGAUAAAAACUUCAUUUUAUUUCAGCCUGAAUAGAUGAAAACUUCAUUUUGUUUCAGCCUGAAUAGAUGCUUUCUUCAGAUGUUGGACUGCCUCGCUGGCAUAUUUAUAGGCAGUGAUAACUUCUUAUUCAUAUUCUUUCAAACAACUGGAUGUUAAUUGAUCCUUCUGCCCACCUUCUCAUAGGUUGAAGACUCUAAAUUGAAUCUGCAUUCCAAUAUUAUGAGUGCACUCCAUCUGGUUAUUUUGGAAAACUGUAACAAAUUUCAGGUAAAGAGGACAAUAUCUACUUGGUUUUUUGGUCAUUAUCUUUUGAAACUGUUAACUUUCUUUGUAGCUUUUUCCAGCUGUUAUUGAUGGAAGGGAAAGCCUAUGAUUCUACAGUAUAUUGAUUGGUCCCAUACUAUUUGCCUCUACUUCCUUUUAUGUGUUCUAAUGCGAUCUAUACAUUAUUAUUUAGUAUGGAUUGGUGAAAAGAAUGAAUACUCUUCAUAGCUUAUGUUGCUGAUGAGAUAGGUAUAUAGAAGAUUAAUCGGUGCUAUUAUAGCAAUCUGUUGACACCGUUUUUUGACACGUGUCGGAAAAAAAGGCGUCAAAAGGUAGCGAAGGUGCUGGUACAAGACGAAGGCUGGUAGAAUCAGCCGAUGGAGUCACUGUAGCCCAGCAGAUGAAGUCACAGUAGCCCAACCGAUGGAGCCACAGUGGUCCGAUUUUUGCGUCAAUACAAUCCUACAUGUCUACUUUAGUACUUGAGUUAGUAGAAACCGUGCACUGGCAAAUGUGAAUACAAUUCUGUAGAACAAGAUAAAAUUACAACAUGGGGAAGGUCGAAGAUGGCACUCAAGUGAUCAGUGUGUUAGUCUUAGUUUCCUUUGCAAAAUAAUUGUUUGUUAGCAUCGGAUGGCAGGCAUGAACUUAAAUGUUAAGUGCUUUGUGCCUUCUUACUCAAAGUCCUGUGCACUUCAUGCAUUUAAUCUGAUAGUUCAAGGCUCAAAUAUGAGCCACUUUAUAUGUUUUCAUAUUUGCUUUGACACUUAUGUAGAAUUGAUCCUUGUGUAUCUCAAUACGGCUAAAAACAACAAAUUGUUAGAAUCGUACGAUAACAAAGCACUAUAAUUUUUAUACUCUUGUUAGGAGUUUUUUGUUUAUUUAAUACACUAUUAUCAUCAUAUUGAAUACUCAGUGUAUCAUAAUAUAAUACAAAUUUUGCCACACGUAGCAACGCACGGGCACGAUCCUAGUCCUCUUUAAACAUGUUUCGUAGCACAUAUACAGAAGUUCAGAAAAGAAGCCAAUUUCGUAAGAUUUUAGUUAUUCUUUGAUAACCACCUCUCGCGAACGAAUUUGAUGGCACGAUGAACAUUUCCCUAUAGUAUGUAAUUUCAGAGGCGGGUGGAAUUUGCAUUUUGGAGUCUGAGACACAAACCGACACGUUUGGGAGGAAAAAAGCACAUUUCCCAUUGCAUUAAGCCUAGGGCAUUGUCUAGGUCCAGGUCACCCACAAUUGUUAUAGUCAGUUAGUAUUACACGGCCAUUAACACACAAAGGCCAUAGUAGCAUAAGGUUUAGCCACAUCAAUGCCAUUUAAUUGGGAACAUCCACUAAAAAAACGCAACACUCAGUGACCAACCAGCUCGAUCUUGGAGAAACUUGCACGUUGUAACACCCAUUUGCCACCAGGCACCUGCUCAAACAAAAACAUGGUGGCACAAAGGUAUGUUGGAGCAUGGUGUCAUACAAACUUAAACAGCAGAAAACAAGACACGGUAAAAGAAUACCUAACCCUACCAAGUAAGUUACAGAAGUCCUAUCGGGCGAUUGGUCUUACUAGCAACUUCACCGCAUUAAUUCUUGUGGUUAUGUGGGACAUGUUCAGAAAAAUUGGGCCAAGGAAACAAAAUUUGUGGCAUACCUUUCUACUCAUGCAUGCUUUAGCAAUUUCAAGAGCCUGAACGCCCCAAUAGCAGCAGUGCUAAAGCUCCUUUUGGGUUGAUUGCUUGUAAGUGCUGUGAUUCUUCCCACUGAACUAAGCUUAUGAUCUGUAAUUGGAGUACAUCCAUUGACCAUUGGGAACCUAGCCUCUGCUCUUGCAUAGGCUGGAUACACUCUCACAGGACAACGGGUUCGUAACAGUGAUCUCCAAUACGGGAAAUAACUUCUCCUUGCAUAUGUGGGAUCCCAUCCGCCACCUACUUCUGUUCUUGCAGCCUGUAACAUAUUUCAAUAAAGUUACAAUCAAAUAGCACGCUCAAAUAACACAUGAUAAGCUGUUGUUGAACCAGGACAAGACAUGGCACAAACAUAACAAGCGAAACAUACUUAUGUUAUUGCCUCGAAAGAGGUUGCACUGCACUUUCCUUUAUCAGCAUCUUUCUCACAGGCACCAAACAAAUUCCAGAUGCAACAAAUUAUUCAACAACACUAAGGUGUUAAAAAUAACAAUAAUGUGCCAGACUGACAUUCUCCAUCACAUUAGCAUGGCAGAGACGAAUCGUAGUUGGAAUGCUGUGGCAUUGCAAUAUGAUGUGUAUUUGUCUAUUUGGAAGCAAUUCAAAGAAAUGUAGUUUGUCGAGUUGGGACAUCAAUUUCCUUAAGUAAUUUUGAAGUUGAUGUAAAUAAAAAAAAUGGAACAGGAAAAAGGCAUAAAUUCCUGUAGCUUUCUUUCUUUUUGCGACCACAGUGUUACUUAUUACCGUUCUAACUGAAACAAGACCAAAAGCAGUUAUCACAAGAUCAAGCACCCACACACCAAAAAAAGGGAAAAUAGAUGUUAGCAUAAUGCAAGUAAAGCAAAUACAUUUAACAUCUAGUUUACCUAUUACUUGCAGAUUUGUUCACAGGGUAAGUUCUAGGACAAUCCCUGACUUCAAACAGUUUGCAUUGUUCCAUAAUAAAAUUUAAAGUACUGAAUUGAAGCAUGUAGACCAUUACAGAGUAAACAUUGCCAAGGCCAAGAUCUUUCUUGUUGUGUGUGUGUGUUCGGGGGGUGGGGUGGGGGGGUGAGACUGCAGAUGAGAAAUUGACAACAGCUUUGCGUCUCUAAUAAAGAGAUAAAUGGUCAUGGCUUAUAAUAACUUAUAAGCACCAGCCCAUAAUAAUGAACUAGCAACCAAAUCUAACUUGAUACCAAACUAAACAUGCAAGUGACUAAUCUGAUGAUAAUAUGCUACAUUACCCACAAUAUUGUUUAUGCGAACACCUCAUGAACUGCAUCUCACAACAAAACAAGGCAGUUUGCAAAAAGAUCAAGAAGCGAAGAUAGAGAUUCUCCAAUACAACAACAUUUAAUUAUCUUUACCUUUUCCUCUGCAGCAUGCAGAAUAGCCGUUUCCAUAACUCCUCUGUUUGCACCUACAAGUCCAUGACAAAAAAAGGUUAGGGCUGAUUUUUUGUUAAAUGGAUAAAGAACCACUUGCGCCCAACACACCUUUGCUACAUGACUUUUUGUCUGACAUUUUGCAGUCAUAAGGUUGGCUUCAAGAAAAAGUCCAAGACAAAAUAAAAUAAUCAACAAAAUAAACAUGUAUUUGCCAAGAAAAUUAUUGUGUGAAGCAGUACGAAGAGUAGUACAGGUUUAUAGUGUCCAUGACUUCUUCAGUGGGGAGAAACCCAUAGUCUUUGAGGAUAGAUGAAACAUGUUCCAAGACCUCCAUUCGGGACACCUGCAUGACAUACAAACUGUUGCAUAAGGUAGAGGAAAUAAACAGAAAAGGCAAUACGUUGCUAACCUAUUGUGCAUACAAUGUAGCGAUCAUAUAAACAAUGGUACCAAAGAGAUGAUGGAAAGAAUUGUUUGCAAUAAGAGUUGGAAGACAAUAGAACAGCGUGCAAAAAACAGUUACAAAAAUAGAAUCACAUUCAGUUUACUACUUGUUCUAUAAACUACAUAAUAAGAAUGUUAACAAGAACAAAAUUGAGGGGCAGACAUUUUAGAAAACAUGUUAAAUUUUAGAAAGUGGUUAUCUAAUAUGAAACUUAACACCAGCUGCGAACAUUCAGCAUAGUUACAGAAGCUCUUUAUAAAUAUGUCUAUUCAUUUGUAAACAAACAAGGUCAGCAUUAUCUGUACCCUAACAUAGAAUGACCUGUAUCUACAUAGCCAUAACUUGAAUUCAUAACAAUAUAUUAAUGAGAUUACCACAGACUUGUUAGCCAUCUUACAUAUAGCAUCUGAUACAAACUAAAAAAUAUAUUCACUACUAUGGCAUAAUUAUAUAGUAAUCAGUUACAAGAUGUAUAAAAGUUUCAUUAAUACUCCCUCCGUCCCAAAUUAUAUGUCGUUUUGGCUUUUCUAGGUUCAUAGGUGUUUGUAUGCAUCUAAAAUGCAUGGAAACACCUAUGAACCUAGAAAAACCAAAACGACCUAUAAUUCGGAACGGAGGGAGUAGUUACUCAAUAUAUGAGUCCAAGUUACGACUUACAACAGAAAUUGUAGAGGUUUUUGCUGUUUCUAGUUCAUGUUUAUUACAUUAAACAAAAGAGACAGUUUUAAGGCAUAGUCCCUUCGAUUAUUUUAAUUCCACAGAUGAAAAGUGAUCCUUUUUAUUUGAUGUUCUAUGAUUCCAAGAAGAGAAUUCACUACCUCAUUUAGGGCCUGUUUGCUUCGAGUCUUGCCAAAUUUGCCUGGCGCAGGCAGCGAUCUCAGGGGUCCAAUUUUGGACACCUGCGGCUGGCGCUGCUGCCUGGGCUGACAAGCUGCCUGGCAGGCAGCAUCCAAACAAGCCCUUAGUGCUAGCGACAAUUUUACAAGACUAAUUCCUUUGUCCAUUGCUUACUAUGGGUGGUUUAGACAUUCAAUGAGGGAGCAAGAUAAAUAACUUUAAUGGAGGCAUAUCGUCAUGUUUUUUUCCUAAUUAUGAGUUCACAAACCUAUAACAUCAAGAAAGAAUGAAUAGAUUUCAGUGAGCUUUGCUAAAAAAUUAUCAGAAACUACACUUCAGAAAACUGCAUCUAUUUUUAGCAUGAGCUGCAAUACUAGGCCCACAUGUCAACCACUCAGAGGUCAGCAGAGCCAUAUAUGCGUGGCAUGUGGGUCAUAGUUGUCAUCAGCUGGUAAAAUGUGCAUCUUUAUGAAAAUAUGGGCACAAUAAGUACAGUUCUGGGUUGAGGGUUCGAAGAAGUAGUAGUUAGUUCAUUGGUAAUUUUUGAGCUUGGAAGUGUAGUUCUCCGAGUUAUGGAAAAAGACAGGCGUAGUUCAUAUAUACUUGCUGUAAGAAAAGUUCAUUGGUCCAAGCAAGACACCUCUCGAAACAUUGCAGCAAGAGGCUAAAACGAAAUUGGCAUAUGUUCAACGUAAUAUAACACUUCCAUAGUCCAAAUUAUACCAAAGAAACCUCGUGACAUAUGUACUACAUAUCAAUCUGAUUAGUAAAUGUGUUGCAAUCUUAUUAAUAUAAUACCAACUCUGGAAUUCAGAUAUUAAAUUUACUUGGAAGAUUGUAGGGAUGGAAUACCCCUAAUAGAUGGUAUCUACUCUCAUAACCAAUGCAAUCCAAUCUCUAGCUCACUAGACAAGAGUACGAUAUAUUCUAUCUUAAGGAUGAGUACUACUAUUGGAACAAACCUAGGAAGGUAUGACUGCUCCUCACGGUCCAAGCACUAGUUGAGAAGGCCUCCAGUUUCUCAACACAACAGGGGCUCUCUUAAACUUUAAUGAGAAGCCACAACACUGUGGAAAGUAUAAAAUUGAGAUGUUUCUAAGGCGAAGUUGAAACUCCACCAAAUAGAACAAAGCAAGUUAUGCCGUCUAUGCAAAUCCAACCAGAGUCAACAGGUUGCAAACCAACCAGCGAUUUUGCAAAAGUUAAGUUCAUUUCUGUUUAGAUUCAUUAAAAAUAAUGAACUCAACCAGUGAUUUUGCAAAAGUUAAGUUCAUUUCUGUAUAGCUCCGUUAAAAAGAACGAACUCUUAUUACAAGUCUGUCAAAUAUAACAUAUAUAUCAAUCUUUUCAUUCAACGUAAGAGCUAUUAACAUUCUUCAUGCUACUAAGAUUAGAGCAUGUAUUUUCUUAACAGCAAUGCUAACUGUAGUAAAAUAAAAAAAUAAAAUACUAAGAACCAGGCAUCUGAGGCACUGCAGCGGCAAUAGACAGAAAAAUGCCUACCUCUGAAUGUGCCUGAAUGUAUGCUGAAAGAGGUUCAACAACAUGGGAAAUUACAUCAACAAGCAGCCCUGCACAAUCAAUAAGUGUUCUCUUUUCCUCCAGAAGCUUCUGUGCCAUUUCAUUUGAGCCUUUUCCCCAUCUUAAGGCAAUGGAAAGCCUCAGUAGACGCUUAUUGAUAAUGUCAAACCCAUCUUUCUUACUACUGCCAUUUAUAUUGGAGGAGCAGCUCCCACGGAUAUGCUCCUGAGCAGCAAGCAGUAGAACUGCAGACUGGAUAAGUUUUCCACCCUCAAUGUAAAUCCAGACCUCUUCAAGUAGAUUUUGUCUUUUCUGCAAGCAGUCUAGUUGUAUCCAAGAAGAUCUUCUGUAAAACAGCAAGGAACAAAAAUUAAAGUGUCAUUUAACAUUUGUAUGAAAGCAAGUUGUGCUGAAUAACUUUCUAUAUAUCGCUUUGUUUCCUCCUAUCAAAGUAAAUAUGGAUUAAGGAAAAACUCCAAGGAAAAAAAAAAGGUAAUAGCAAUAUUUAGUGUAUAUUUUAUUGAAGACAUGCAUGGACACAUGAAGUAAGCCAAAAGCUUAACAACGGGAAACUAUAUACUUUCUCCGCCAAAUCGAGAUGGAAAGGGUGCUCAGUCCUUAGUAUCACUAAUUCAUUUUAGCAGUUGCCUGGGAUCUAUGGCAAGACCACAGCUACUUUUUACAUGCCAUGCUGGAAAAAGAACUUUGUGUUCGCGCGAGAUACAGCAGAUGGGGGGGGGGGGGGGGGGGGGGGCGGGCACAAACCAUUUCAGGCAGAUACAGCAGAUGGAUAAGCUUGUAGAUGUAAUCCAGAUGAUUCUGGCUGGAAGAAAGAUUGUCCUCCAGAUACUUAUGCAGGCAAGUAUUCUCAACUGCAACAUGGAGCGGGAGUAGGUUCUCAAUGACAACAUUGCCAACUGUGCGUACAUUGGCUGAUGCGCCAUGGCGUAAGAGCAGUUCGAUCAUCUCAACAGAGAACUUUUCAGCAGCUUCGUGGAGCGGGAAGUAUCCAUUCUUGUUUAUGAAGUUGGGAUUGGCACGCAUCCCAGAGAGCUCAGGUGCCUUGCCCUCCAAUACAACUUCUGCACACCGCAGGGCGUUGAAACUGAUCAUGUAGGUUAAGGUUAGUGCAGUGAUGGUAAGAUUCCAUGACAUGCCCCUGCCCUCGCAUUUGUCGAAAAAUUGGAGGAAGCACUGGGCGCUAUCCUUAUUAAGGAUGGGCUCCACUUGGUCAUAAUUGUCGAAGAAUAUAUUACACACCCACUAGAUGGAUCCAUUAGAAUUGAAAAAGGUGAAAGGCAUCAGCAUAUAUAUAAAGGAGCUCAACAAACUGUCUAUGGAGGUGCAUAUGUGAUAACAACAACAGAACCUUGUAAACCAAGCAAGUUGUGGUAGCCUAGAGAUGAAACCAAACAUGAGGCAUCAACAGCAAGGGAAUAGAGAAUAUAAGGGGACCUAAAGCCUAUCAUGAUUCAGGUAUGUGAAUCCACAUGUUCCUAUCCAAAGGUUCAUAUAUGACAACACUAAACAUAUUGUUUCAGUAGAAGCACCAUAUAUAUUACAGGAUUAAACAAAAUAACAUAACUAAUGGAAUGAUCCAUCAAUUGAAUUCUAAGGUAACUUACCUUAGGAGUAGUGUUUCGGAUGAUUAUGUCAUUUACUACGGACCUGGCCAUCUGAAAGAGAGAAUGUCAAGAGUCAGCACAACAGGGAGAAAAUAGAAUGGGAGAGGAAUAUCACACAGAUGGACAGUUAUCGACCUUCUCAUGGAAACUCCAACCGCCCUUGGUAGUGUCAAUAAUAGGGGCAGGCUGCCGAGGAUACUCGUUUCUCACUGUAAUAGAUCCAUCAUUGCCAUUACCAUUAUCUUUGUCACAGGCAGGUGCCUUCAAUUUCAAUUCCAUCCUUGCGUUUUUCGAAACAAGGAAGUUUGAUCUCGAAUUACGCUCCAAAGAAGAUUACUACAAGGCACGCAAUGGUCAAACAAUGACUCAGAAGACCAUGAAAUAAAACGAGGCAUUCUAUCUAAAAUGGAUCACACACCACUGAAACAUAAACAUAUGCUGCAAAUAGAAAACAUUGUAUUUACUGCAUAAAUCCUGAAAUGUAACAAUGAUUGAUAUAUGUGAAAUGAAGGGCCAAACAACUUUAUAACAUACCAGUUGAACCCAGGUGCUAGAAACUCUGAUGCAUAUGAAUUAUGAAAUUAGAAACCAAAAGCUAAAUUAGAUGUUUGAGUUCAACAAGAAGUGAAAGAUAUUCACUGGUCACUGACUUGCACGAAUAACUAACUUGCCCUUGCUGAUUCCACUUGAAGCACAAUUAGAGAACUUGGCAUGUAAGACACGGCACCAAACCAACAAAACAAAAAAAAAGUAUACACAACUCGCAGAGGACAUAUAUAUAUGGCUAGGUAGCAACUGAGACUAAAGACUGAGCCAACAAAACGAGGUGCAAAAAAAUUAAGCUCGGGUUCAGUCCAAGGUUCAGAUUUGACGUAUUGACAUGAGGAACAGCAUCGGAUCUGAGGAAUGUAGCCAACAGAUGCUGAUCCCAACUCUAAAGUACCAAGAAAUAUGUUCCAAACUUCGCCAUAGGAAGAGAUGCCGCAGUUCACCAAAGGUUCUUUUUAUUUAAAAAAAGCAACAGAACAACAAACUGUCGUGUUGAUAACAAGAGAGGAACUAAUGACCAAAUAUCAGAAACGUAAUGCAUUACCACAGGCCGGUUCCGACUUGGAUCUGCUUAUAAUACGAAAAAGAUAGAAUCUUUCCCGGGUGAAUCUUUCCGGAUCAGAAGAAAAAUAUCAUCAAGCAGUUGAAUUCGAGAUAGUGGGUUGGGGUUGGGGUGCGGGGCGGUGGCGGCCGGGAGUUUGGGGCGGGGAGGGUUGCCCUAGUCGCCGGAGGGCAGAGGUGGGUUCGCGAUGGGGGGAGGACUGAGGACCACGAUGAGUGGCUGGAAAUCUCUACUCCUAAAAAACGCAAAAGAGGUGACGAAAUGUCGUACGUCACGGUUCCUCCGUUCCAUCGUCCCGCGCUCCAUCGAUUUGGAGCCCUUCGUGCCCGACAGAAGCGGCGACGGGGGUCUCUGCGCCCUACGAUCGAAGGAACCCCCUCCGCACGCCCUGGAACGUCCCUCCGCGUACAGAAACAUUUUUCGACCCUACGAUCGAUUCGUGCCUCUCACCUCUCCCCUUCCCCGCUGCCGCUGCCCCUCACAUCCUUCCCCUCACGUCCCACCAAUCGUGCUCGUGGUCCAUCACCACACCGCCACCGUCGCGUCCUCAAUCGCCACACCAUCGCGUCCGAUCAUCUUGCCGAGAUUCAAAAUGGGACAGCCAAUUCUCACGCGUGAUAAACACCUGCACUUCCUCGGUUCCUCCCUCUUUGUUUGGCUAUGUACUUCCCUGAGCAGCGGAGGCGGCCGCGGCGGCACUCACGACCCGGUCGGAGACGAACCACCGCAGCCCCUUGGUAGGCUCAAAUUGAGAUCCCCUUUGCCUCCUCUUUCUGUUUUUGUGUUUAUCAUCGGAAUACGCCAUUCAUACUAUGUCCUACAUUUUCUCCGGCGAAGUUCCAGCCAUGCACGUGCAUGGCGCCGCUGCGUGGUCGUCGUCGGGCAGGAUCGGAGCUAGAAGAUGAAGCUGCAACCUUUAGAUCCAAAACCGAUGGCUUAGAUCAGAUAUAAACCAUACCCCUUCGUGUGGAUGUGGUGCACCGUAGACUACUCUAGCACCCUGGUCCAUAGACUCCAUGAACCGAGACUACCAGUCCAAGCUUGUCACACCCGGUUUUAAAACAAAACCAAGUGCUACCUAUAUGUAUGCCAGGAUCUAGUUUCAUACAUAUAGUGACAUCAUAAGUGAAUAACAGCAACAGUAUCACGUAAAAAGAUACAAUUAAAGACUUACAAGACUAUCAGAGAUAUACAGCUUAAACCCUGGAAACAGAGGCUCCAAACUUCACAGGCAAUCGACUGGGGGUUGUGUACGCCUAGAACUCAGCACCAUCUUUAGCAAACUUUUAGCUUCUUCUUCUGAGCAAUGUUGCUUAUAGCAAGGGUGAGCACAUGUCAUACUCAGCAAGUGUGAGGAGAAUAUGAAUGCAAGGCUUAAACAAGGAUAGGCUGACUGGUUGACUGCAUUAAGCAUUUUUAGUUGGUCAAAUUUUAUUAACACCUGAUUACUAAGGUAUAAGUAUAUACCAACCCACAAUUAAUGGAAACAUAAACAUAAGCCAUAAGCAUAUGGCACAACCGUAACCUCGAUUUAAGUCCAUCUUCAAGUAUAUUAAUCAUGUGAGGGUUCAGACCGCUCUUAACCCUGAGCACAGCUGAUCGAUCGGUUUUACACUCUGUAGAGGUCGCACAUCUUUACCCACAAGUCGCGUAAAAGUUCAAAAGAACUUUGACCCAACCAUGCGGUGCUGAUCAGGCACCAUACCACACUUCCGAGGUGUGAUUGCAUAGGGACGCUACGAGGCCUUUACAAAUAUUCAUUAGUAAGUGUUAACCCGCUAAGGUUUCGGUGUCUGGCGUGCACAACCUAUCACAGGCCGAUGAUGUAACGACUCAGUCCCCCCUCUUGCCUCUUCAUGACUAAGAUUACCCCAGACUAAGGUUUCUAAUUAUUCAGCCAAGACUAGAGCCAUUUAGUCUUGUGGUAGCACUAUUUUCCUGGAUGGUCGCUCCAUGUUCCGAUUAAACUUUACGAUCUUGUAUUAGUGAAAGGUAUAGCAUCAAUAAAAUAAGUUCAUCAUAUUGUUCGUUAGGACCACCAUAACCCAAGUAUAGCAGCUAAGCAUAGCUACCCAACAGAAAGAUAAACCCAGGUUGACAAGGAGUGAUCAUAAAGGCUAGGCGAAUCUUGAUAGGACCCAUCAAAUUAAAUGCAAACAUAUGCAAUAGUGAUUAAAUAAAGUUAUUGGGACAAAAGCACAAAACACACUUGCCUUCCUAUAAGUAGUGUUGCUGCUCAGAAUGUCUUCAACUUCUUGCCGUUGAAUGUCCUCGAAGUACGUUCGUUCUACUCGCAUCAAUCAUCCAAGACAAAUAUCCAGAGCACGCAUAUACAAGCAAACAAAAGAACUAAAUUAAAAACAGUACACCAAUCAUCAUAAACAGAAAGAAACAAGCUUACAAAACUAUUCUACACGACAAGACGAACGCGUGGACACAAAGAACGCUAAAAACGGAGCUAGGAUGCAAAAGAUACGCUUAAAACAAACUACAGGAAUUUAACAGAAAACUAAACUUUCAGGGACUUAGCUGCAAGAAACCAAGGACCUAAACAUAAUUACGCGAUAAACCAUCGGUUUAUCGCGCAAAAAUGCAACCUAGAACUGCGGGUUGAUUUCGCAAAAACGUGGGGUUUAAAACGAAAGAAAACAGAACCUCUUUGAAACGAUCUUUGAACUGUGGUGGACUGCGGAGCAAUUUGCAAAAACUGCAGGGGCCUAAAUGCAAAAGUAGCGGCGCGGCGGCGCUUCGCGGCGGCUGAUCGGCGGCGCGCGGCGAUCGCGUCCGGGCGUCUCUUCGAGCGCGGGAUGGACCGGGAGGAAGCGGAGGGUGCGGCAAGCGCAUUGCGGCGGUCGACGACGGGCGAAACGCGGCGGAGGCGGCGGUGCGGGGCACGGUGGCGAGCUGGCGCUCCGGCGGCUCGUGCGGGCGGAGGAAGGCUCGGGACGCCCUGGGAACGCACGGCCGAGGUCCUUACCGCAGCGCGGAGUUUCGGGCGGCGUCAAGGGAGAAGAAGAGGCGGCGGCGGAGGAGCGUGACGGCGGCGCUUGAUGCGGAGGAGGCGAGCUAGGGUUUGAGGGAAAAGAGGCGAGGCGGCGGCUAUUUUUGGGCGUCUCGGCGUGCGGGCCCAAGGGCGAGGCGGACGCGGUGCGGGAGUCCCGCUCGGACUCGAGCUCGGGCUCGAGGCGGACUCCGCGCGCGGCAUGGAAAGCGGAGGGGAUCCGGCAGGCGGUUGCGGGAGGAGGACGAUGACACGGCUGGAACGGGAGCUGAGCCGGCCAGCGGAGGGAGCGCGGGUUGGGCCGGAGGGUGAGCUGCUGGGCCGGCAGGAGGAUUGGUGCGGCGUUGGGCCGACGCAGGGAUGGGCCAGAGAAACGGCUGGGCCGAAAAGGAGAAAGCGGGAGAAGUCGGCCCAAAGAAGAAAGGAAGAAGAAAAAGGAAAAAGGGCUUCCUCAAACGAAUUCAAAUUUGAAUUCAAACAUAAAUUUGAAUUCAACGUAACAAAAACAAUGCACCGCAUGAAUGCGCAGACACAUAACAAUAUUAUUAAAUUCAAAAAUAAAUAAUUAUUUUUUCUAUAUUAAAUUUCCUGUAAAGAAAAAUAAACGUUAGAAAAAAAUUUAAAAUUAUAAAAAAUCAUUAUUUAAUUAUUUCCUUUAUUCACAUCCUAAAAAUUCAAGAAAUUUCAAGGCGCGACAAAGCUGUCCUCCUCCGUCGUCUCCCCGUGCCUCGAUCCCGAGAGUCUGCCGCCGCCUCCCGCUCCCUAUCCCACCGCCGCACCCCACGACCCUCCGGCUCGGCGGCUCCCCAGCGGUCCGCCUCGCCCCCGUGCUCCACACGGGUCCACGACCCCGCCGUGGCUGCGCUUCGGUGUAGGCGGCGGGGUCAGGGUGCGGAGAGGGCUGCUUUACUCCACGGGGGUGCUGUAGCCGCGCGGCGGUGGAGAGGAGGAUGAGGGCCGGGAGCGUGGCCGCCGUGGUGGGGACGAGCGUCGAGCUGCUGGCGAUCCCCAGUCUCCGCCUUCGCAUCACAUUGGCUCCAACUGCCCUCCCUCAUUUCCUCCGCACCACCGUGCCACGCCGCUGCCUGCUUUCCGGGUCACCGCUGUGGGGAUGCUCGUGCCUGCCGCUGCCCCAUCGCGACCUCCCGACCUCCUCUCGCCGCAACCCCCCCCCCCCCCCCCCCACCCGGCUCGGGUGCUGCUGAUUAUAUUUGCUUGCUAAUUUGGAGGAACAAAAAGAAAGAAACUGGUUGGCAGGUUGCUAGCUAUUGAGGAUUGCUUGCUCGGUGGAGGCAGAGGGAGAAUAAAGGUGUGAAGGAAGAAUGAUGCUACUAUGUGUUUAUUUGAGAGGAGCUGGCUUGCUAGAGAAUAAGAGGCCGGGAAUAUUGGUAGCGCAUUCUUCAGAACAUAUCACAAAGUGCUAGCAUAUUGAAGAUUUGGAGGGCAUGGAGGACUGUGACCUGCUCUGCGAUGUGGUAUUGCAGAUAAGGUAUCCAACUAUCCAUCGUUUGCUUUGAGUCUCCCUGUGUUUAUGUGCCUUUAGAUGACAGUAGCUUUAAUCUUGCUCCUAAUUUGAUAGAACUGAGAUUUUUUUUCCAACAUAAAUAGGCUAAUUUCUCAGAGCCAUUACUUCAUCCCAGUUUACACUUAUACACACUCGCUAGAUUGAACCAUAGUUAGACCUACUGGAAAUAGUUUUUUAUGCUCUCAUAUUCUGAAUAUGGGAAUUCUUGACUACUUUAUUUUGUGCAUGUUAAUUUCUCGACAAUAUUUCUUUAAAAUUUGCAGUUAGGAGACUUUGGCCUUUUGCUCGUCAACUUUCUAUAGCAAUCAGUGAUGAUAUAUUAAUAUUGAUUCUUGAGCCAAUCUUUUUGUUAUUGAGGCCACUUAUUGUACUGGUGCCCAUGCAAUGUAUCUUAACAUGGUAGAGGUGGAAAAGUUAAUUUUCAAACAAACAUAUAAUCAGGACUACAUGCAGUUUAUUUUGUGAAUUUUGGAUUCAGGGGUACAUGCAGUGGUAUUUGUUUCAUAUCAGCUUUAGGCUCUCCAAUCCUUAUUUAUUUUAUGAAUUUUGGUUUCAAGCCUACAAAGCACUGGCAUUUAUUUCAAAUUCAACUUUUGGCUCCCAACUCUUAAUCUGUAAAUGGGCGGCUUUAGGUAUCAAGAACUGCAUUAACCAUUGUAUUUGUGAGGACUAAUGCCCAAUGAUUUGCCUUCUAGAUUUUAGGACACAUCAUUUUCCUUCUUUCCCUUGUACAAUCAAUACCAAAUAUGGUUUUAUUUUGCUUUUACUGAUUCCUUCCCAUCCAUGCCAUUCUGCCAAGAAAGCCAGGUUAUUGGUUAAUGGUGGUUCAAUGCAAAAUAUUACGAUUCUUCGUAUCUAGGUGUGCUGUUGUCCAAGAAGGUUGCUUGAGUUACAAUUUACAAACAGUGUGCACUGUUGGAUUGAAUUUUUUAUGGAGUCUUAAGUUGUACAAACCAUAGAUGGAUCAGGCCAUGAAUUUUAUUACUGUACUGGUUGCUACACAAGUUAUCAAAAUUAUUUAGCAACAUAUCAACUAUAGAUUAUUUAGCAAGAAAUUGUUAUAUCUGUUAAGAAGCUGAAAAGGUUUCAAUGAAAACUGAAAUGAAGUAAGAUUUUGCAGUUGAGCUGAACUUGCUGGGAGUCCAGGUCACCCUGAUAGUAUGCAUCAUAGGCCUAGUAGUAUGAGAGCAAUUUUUCAUAAUUGAUAUUAGAAUAUAGAUUCAUGUUUGCUCAGAUUCCUACACUUUCUUGAAUUUAAUAUGACAAAGUAAAAUCUAAUAUUGUUGAAUUCUACUACUUAAAAUUUCCUUCUCUUUUCCGUGCAGUUUGGACUUUUGGAGAUUUUCUUAAACUACAUGUUGGGUAAGCAACCUAAAAUGGACAAGCUACAAGACUACCAUUAUCAUGCAUAGGCAAACCACUCUUAUGCAAUACUUAUUUUAUAUCAACUGAUCCUACUUACAUUGCCGAAGCCUGUUGUAUUAGUUGUCAUUGCAGAGCAUCACUGAACCUGAUGUGUUGGAGUUCAAAAGUGCUGGAUGGCAGUAUGUAUGUUUUUAGAAGUGCUGGACCAAACUUCUGUUGCCUCUUUAUGACUGGUUGGCUGGUGACGUUAAUCUCCAUGUAGGGGUGAGGUGGUGAUGAUGUGAGGACACAGUUCUGGAAAUUGAUUACAAAUGCAAAGGAGUGGUCUAUCUCAACUCCAAAGUUCCUAUUUUUAAGCAACCACAAAAUUGUUUAGAAAAAGGAGUGGGGUCUCAGAAGAGCGGGGCUGCAGAAGAGCGGCGCUGCAGAGUUAGAGAGAGGAGUGGUGUAGGUAGCAGAACGGUGCAGUGCUACAGUGCUGCUUGGAUAAGAGCAACUCCAAUGGACUAUCCAUUUUUUGACUCUCCAUUUAACUCUCUAACCAAGUUGGCAAAAAAAUUCCUCUCUAUAUUGAGUUGCUUAUCCCAACAGACUAUCCAUUUCUCACUCUCCAAAUCCUAAUAACUAGGUUCCUCUCUAAACAUCUACACUCUCCAUUCACUCUAACAGCCUCUCUAUUUCUUACCACAACAGACUCUCAAUCUUGCACUCUCCAUUUUGUGUGCGGGACCCACGUUUAGCAAGCCAAAACUGCUUGCCAAGUUCAGAGAGUUUGGAGGAACAUUUGGCAAGUCAGAUGGGAUGGCAAGUCGGAUGGCAACUCUAUUGGACUGUAGUUUUCUAGCAGACUUGCUAAAUUUUAGCUUAAAGAGUGAGAUAGCAACUCUCUUGGAGAUGCUCUGAGGAAGAAAAGCUGCGGUUAGGAGAAGGACCAGAUAUAUGGGAGGAAAAAAUAAAUAAAGAGAGAAAAGAAAAGGGUAUAAAAAAGGAAGAAAGAAAUAGAAAGAAAAGUGAAAAAAAAAGUUAAGAGCACUACAAACCUAAUUAUUAGCUUAGCUAUCUUUUACAUUAUUACUAUUUUUUAUUUCACACAAAUCACAUUAUCAACAUUGGCCGCACAUAAAACUCGUAUAUGCAAGCAACAUACAUAUGCAAGGGCAUAAUGGAUAAUUGCCAUCUUUUAUACAUUCUAAAAAGUUAGGUGAAAUCAUUCUACCAAACAUUUUCCUACAAAAUAAGUCAAGAACUAAGAAAAGCUUCUUUUACAGAUAAAUUGUUUUUUCACGAGCCAGGCUCGUGCCAAGCUAACCCAAGUCUGGCUUCUGGAAGCCAGAUAGGAAUACCGUGCGAGAGCGAGGCCUGGACUAUCUGCCAAAACCAGGCCGGGCCGCAUAUUGCUUCCUCUCCCAAAUGAUGAUUACUAGGUAAUAGCCCGUGCCUUGCUACAGGCACAUAAAUUUGAACAAAAUAACAAUUAUUAAAAAAAUCAUGCAAAACACAUGAUGAUUAUAAGCAAGUGAAUGAAAUUGUAAUGACAAAUUUCAUAUCAUGCAUAAUGGUCAUUCUAGGAAGAAUUGACCAAUAACAUUGCGCAAGAUCAAGGCUUUUUUCAUUUAGAAAUAACAAAACUUGAAUUUCAACUGCAGCAUAUAUAUUUCAACCCACCACACGAUCAAUGCUACAUCUUAGUGUCAAUUACAAUAGUUUUUCAAUGUAUUCAUGGUGAUGGCCCUUUGUAUAAUCAACAAAAGUUACCAAACUGUUAAUAAAGUGCAGUGCAUAUUUGAAGACAGUUUUUUUAAAAAAAAUGAUUGAAACCAUUUUCCCCUAAGUGAGAGGCAAUAUGAGUUAAUCUGACCAUAGAGACACUGCUAGAGAUGGUCAUAGCACGCGUGAAAGAGUAUCUUGGUCCCCUAAGUGGGUUUUGAUAAGUUAAUGAUGCAAAACUAAGUGUCUAAUGAACUUUCAAGCGCAUGAGUAGGUAUAAAAGGAUUGGUGGACAUGUAGCACUCUUGAAUGGCCCUCAAAAAGGAAACAAAUUGUGAACAAGGCGUUCAUUGAAGACUAAAUUUAUUUUUUAUUUGAAUUUGAGUUUAGGAAGAAUGCCGCACUAUUAAGAGGGAUACUUAAUCCGUGGUUUUUACAUUAAAAAAGGUGCUCAAGAUGACCUAACCAACCUAUGAGAGACACCUUCGCACUUGCACUUCACAUGGGAUAUACACAAAGAGGUGUUGACCUGAGAGUUUUGGAGUUUCCGCAAGAAGUUGCGGAAUACUCCGAAGGUUCCAGAGUUUUUAGGAGAAAGUUCCAGAAUCUCCGGAACUCGUCGUUCCCAACGGCUAGUUUUUGGUGAAGGGGUAUAAAUACCUCCUCACCCCCUACCACAGUAACUUUCUUGACCUAACUUCGAUUGAGCUGCUCAGAAACAUAGAAGAGUUUUCUGAUGAAACAUAGAAGAGUCAUUUCUGCUCAGAAGCCCUUACAGUUUGUUGUUCCCUGGAGGCCCUUGAGCACCAUGCCAGACCCAAAAGAUGAUUGGGAAUUUUAAGAGUGUCCAUAAGCUUGGUCCUAGUGAUAGUUUUGGCUUUCUCCAGAAUAUGAGGCACUUCAGCACAAAGUCAGAUCCAGAUGGUCAGGAACUUGGUGCCAAUAAUUCAGACAGUGAGCUUAACUACACCAAGAAUUUCUAUAAGCUUGGACCUGGUGAUAGCAGUGGCUUUAUUCAGCAUGUGGAUAUUACCGUCAGCACGGAGCUUGACAUUAGGUUACUCAGAGCUGAGUUUGAAAGCGACAUUCAUCCCUUGCUUGCUUUUCAUUGCUUGAUGCUUCCCUCCAAUGUGGAUCAUGAUAUGAUAGCCUUCUUUCAUGGAACGGUUCAUGGAAUAAGUAAACUUAAGGUACUGUACCUAAGCUAUGCUGAGAGUGAAAGGUUUGAAGGAAUCAGAGAGGAAGCCCCUUAUUGAUCAUAUCAUCCAUCGAAGGGUGCUUGUUGCAGAUGAUUGGUUGAACACCUAUGGCAACAUCGAGCUAUUGAAAUAUGAUUUUCGUGAAAGCAACAUAAGCUUUGUUUGAGGGAAAUGUGACGCGUCAUUUGAUGAACUAAACCAGAUCCAAAGUGGUGGACCAGCACUUGGUAGGCUCACUAAGAAGGGAAUAGCCAAGCUGGCCUUUAUUAUUUGGAAGGAGAAAUGGUUGAUCUGGGUGGAGAUAUUUAAGGAUGUGCCACGUAAUGACAGUGAUUUCGCUGAGUUACUUUCCACAUUACAAAAUAAAAAAUUAUUUGCUAAAUUAUUACUAUUUAGACUUUGAUCAUUUAUUUAUCUUAUAUUAUAUUAUUUAUGGCUCUAAACUUAUAAUUAUUGGAGAGUGCAUUUGAUUACAAAUCCAACCAUGUCAAUUUUAUACUAAAAAAUAAAAAAAUAUUUGCUAAAUUGUUGGUCAAAGAUUGUAAAGUUUGAAUCUUAAUAUGCGUGUGCACCUUAUUAUAAACAGAAAUGAAGGGAGUAUUAGACAACUGUAUUCCAUGUGAAAAAGAUAUGCUAAAGACUUGUGAAGCCACUUCUCUUAUUCAUGUAUUAUAUUUAUAUAUGUUUGCCAUAAAGUUUCAUGCCAUUUUUUAACAUCUAGAUCAAUAAAGUAGUCUAGAUGAAUGACCGAUGAUUUUUAUGCUUUUGUUUCUUCUACUAUAAUCCGUGUUGUUUGUGUGAGGGGACAUGGAUGGCGGCGAUUGGUCCCGUUGCUGGUCUGUGUGGAGUGCGGCGUGUGAUUAGGAUUUCCAUUUCGGUUUAGUUCUUGCAAAUCUGAAGUGAUUUGGGGAUCCAAUACUGAAGGGGGAUCUCGCACUGUUCUGCGGCCUUGACUUCUGGGGCUUAGCUAGGGUUUAUAUUAUUCAAUUCCAGUCCAUUAGCACGUUGCCCCGAGGUUAUUAGGUACUUAAGUCAAAGGAAUCAGAAUCUCGAUAUCUGUAAACAACACAUUAUUGGGAGCGUCCCCAGAAAAAGCCUGAUGGUGGGCCACAUCCUUGAGAAGAAAAACACCAAUUGGGUGGAUAUAAAGCAAAAGGGGGAAGUCAUUAUUCUUAAAUCUCUUUGCAAACAGUCACUAUCCUACAUCGCAUUUUAAAAUUUAAGAUAGUUCCAUCAGUCUCUCCAACAAUGAAAAGCUAAAAGGUGUCCUCAACUAACCGGCUGCAUCUAAUUUGCCAAACCGCUGAAUUAUCUGCAUAAUCUUGCAGACUAGGGAGCUGAUGUAGUGAUAUUAUCAGUAUCUGAUAGAUCAGGGUUAUUGGGAGGAUUUGUCUUUUCAACUGAUCAAGGCUUGCUGUAACCGGAAUCCAUGUUUGUGAACAGCUGGGCUUGGAGGCAACAGGUGCAGAGUUUAACACAAUGAAGCUUGACGAUAAUGCUGAAAUGAGCAAUAUCAAUACGGGUGGAGUUGAGAACCUAAUGGACGCUGAUGAGGAGGUUAAACCUUGCUGGACCAUACCAAGUCCAAGUAAGUAAUAAUCCAUUCUUAAAUUUUAUAAGUUCUUCAGAUCUGAACCUUUUCCUGAAAAAAAGUGGUUACUGAUACUAACUAAUAUGAUUUCUGUAGAAACUCAACCAUCUAAUGGUUACGUGACAUUCUCCUUGACUAUGGGACCAGAAUAUCACAUCUCACAGGUGAACCUCUAACUCUUAACUUGUUGGCAUGAUUUCUCAUAUAAGCAAAAACAAAGCCAUGUGUCUGCUAUUCUGUUUGAUUGAAUUCAUGGAACACCAUUCCACAAUUUUCAUCUGCAGAUCACAGAUGCUGUGGUUGUUGCAAGGUAUCUAGGUGCAACACUUGUACUUCCAGAUAUAAGAGGAAAUGAAUUAGGAAACAAGAGGUAUGCUUCUUUGAUAAGAAGAUGACUUUCAUUUCCUUAAGAUAAAUCCUGUUGCAGAUACGUAAAUGCUGCAACAUUUUGUGCAUACAGUAUGAGCCUUUACUCUAGGAAUUCACGACUAUUUUCAUAAAUGUGACCAUUAUUGUCCAUCUCAACUAAUGGCAUAAGUUUUAUGAACAGAAAAUUCCAAGACAUGUACAAUGUGGAUAAAUUCAUGAGAAACUUGGAAGGUGUUGUCGAAGUAAUAGACUUGCGGUCAUUUUCUCCUCAGUGAGUUUAAGACCGAGGGAGACUAAUAACAAGGACUUGGAUGCGACUGCUUGCCUUGCAAUGUUCAGUGGCCUCGAAUUGAAACAUGAAUAUUCUGAAGUGGCCAGAAAAAUGCUGGAUGGUCUUAAAGAAUUAAGCAAGAAAUCAGAUGGGAAGGUCUUGGCAAUUGAUUUGCGGACCGACUUGCUAGAAAAGAAGGCUUGCAAAACAACCUGAGGCGCUAGAAGAAAAGGCUGCUAUAACACUGAUGAGGUUGUGGGUUUCCUGAGGAGUGUAAAAAAUAAAAAAAAUAUUUGCUAAAUUGUUGGUCAAAGAUUGUAAAGUUUAAAUCUUAAUAUGCGUGUGCGCCUUAUUAUAAACAGAAACGAAUGGAGUAUUAGACAACUGUAUUCCAUGUGAAAAAGAUAUGCUAAAGACUUGUGAAGCCACUUCUCUUAUUCAUGUAUUAUAUUUAUAUAUGUUUGCCAUAAAGUUUCAUGUCAUUUUUUAACAUCUAGAUCAAUAAAGUAGUCUAGAUGAAUGACCGAUGAUUUUUAUGCUUCUAAAAUAUCAAAUAUUAGGAACCUUGUAAUUGUCAUAUGUUAAUAUAUCAAUGUUCCUACUUUCGUACUCUUUUAUCGACACGUAACAUCCAAAAAUAUCCACAAUAAUGAAGCAAAAUCUGAUGUAUCCGUGGCCCCGUCCCUCCCUCCCCACACGAGUUCCCGUGUUCCUGAGUCUGUGAGUCCUGAGUCCUGACCAUCCAUUCAUUACCUUCCGCCGCCGGUCGGCUCCUACCCUGCCCGUAGCGAUGGCAGCGACGCCGUGGUUCGGCCUCGUCCCACGCACACGCGGCCCCGUUGUCAUGCUGCCGCCGGCCUCAACGGACCUGGCAUGGCCACCGGCUGCCCCGACCGGCACGGAGUUCGCCAGCGAUGCCUUGUUCCUGGCCAGAGAACCCAGCGUGCUCACCGCCUGCGCUGAGCAAGAGCUGGCCUUGUGGAAGGAGCCGUCUCGCACUCCCUUGCGUACGUGUCGUGGACUACGGAGAUGGUUGUUUCUCACUAGCUCCAUUGGUCGCGUCCUACAUGCGUCGGUAUCAGUUGUGGAUUUGCAGCUGUGGACACCAAGCUCGGCCUACCCGAUACCAACGAAGUUCUCCCUGUUCAGUAAUCCUAGCCCUGUUCACCGGUUCAACAAAACUGGCUGCCGGACUGGAACCAAGCUAGAUGAAACCGUCGUCCUAGGUUCGUGACCGGGUUGGUCCGAGACCGCUCAGGAACCAGGCAAAACGAGGAAAUAACUCCCGGUUUGCGGGUUGAAGCCGAUAAACCCGUUGGAACCCGGGGAAUGAAAGGCGGCGGCGAUGUCGCGCUCGGGCAUCGCUUGAGGCCUCGAAGUGGAGGCCGCGCUGGCGGCCGAAGCAGAGCAGGAGUUGUUGUGGGAGGAUGUUGCCUUAUAAUGCGUGGAUGCCUCGAUCUGGACGUUGACACUCCGCAGAGUUCUGGGGCGAAGGAUCCGCUCUCGAUCCAUUCACGCUGAACAAGGUCGCUUUCUAUCUCUUCUUGUGUUGCCGGAUUCCAUUCUGUCUUGCCAUGUCUGCUCCUUGUUUCGUGGAUUGCAGGAAUAUUCAUCGCUUUCUAUCCCUUCUUGCGUUGCCUAUACGGUGCUCCUAUAAACCGGAUUUCAUUCUAUCUUGCCGUAUCUGUUCAGUAAUCUGUAAUCCACCUGUUACAGGCACGCACUCUACAGGCAGGACGACACUUUUUUUUCACGAAAUGUUUUUUUUCACAAAAGGAGGGAUUAUAUUAAGAGCAGCACAGUACGACUGCAAAUUACAAAGAAGAACCUGAAGAAAUACAAAAUUACACCCAAACUCACACAGGUCUUCUUCGUCCUCAACUCCAAUGAACUCCGCCGCCGGAGGCCGACAGAUUGACCGGACCGGAGCUUUCCACCACAACAGCAAGGGAAUCUGAAGCCGUUGAGGAACAUCAACCGCCGCCUCGCCGGAAUCGAUGAAAAAAAAAAGCAACGCAGCCAAAUCGGCACCGGGAGAGGCAUCGCCCUUUUCUCGCCCGCCUGGAACUGUAUGAGAGGGGAGAGGAGAAAGGUCAAGGAAAUACAGCAACGUUACUGUGUUGUUGGCAGGACGACACUUAUUUGCCGCAUCGACUUGUUGGUGAUUCAUCUUCAGAAAACGAAAAUGGGAAGAGAAAACCAAAGCUUUUUUAUGUUACGAAAGAUAUCUGAGAGAAGAAAGAAAGAGGAACGUCCAAGUUCAGCAAACCUGGAGGGGGAAAAACAGAGCCCGUGCUGUACCUUCCUAGUUUCUUCUCAUGCAUGCUUUAGCACUCUCAAGAGCCUUAAAUGCACCAAUAGAAGCAGUGCUAAAGCUCCUUUUGGCUUGAUGAUUGCUUGCAAGUGGUAAGGUUCUUCCCACCGAACCAAGGUUAUGAUUUGGAGUUGAAGUAGAUCCAUUGACAAAUGGGCUGCACCGAGAGACACGGUGUUCAAGAUCAUGCCCAGGCCUAGCAUCUGCUCUUGCAUAGGCUGGAUAAACCCUCCAACAUGGUAAGAAACUUCUCCUUCUAUAUGUGGGGUCCCAUCCAUCACCUACUUCUUUUCCUGCUGCCUGUCACAUAUUUCGAAGAAAGGUACAACAUCAAAAGGCCAGCAACAUCGCUUCAGCAUGAUCAGACACCUCUCGCUUGAGAUGCCGUAUGUUCGUCAACACACAAUAUGAAUGAUACUUAAGUAGCAUGCUCAAAUAACAUGAUAAGCUGCUGAACCAGCACAAUGCAUGGCACAAACAUAACAAGCGACACAUUGUUUUGUUAUUGCCUUUAAAGAUUAUGUUACCUGCUUUCCGCCUUUCCCUUUAUCACAAUCUUUCCAACAGGCACCAAAUAAAUAUCAGAUGCAACAAAUCAUUCAACAACACCAGGGUGUUAAAAAUAACAAUAAUAAGCCAGCCCCCUUUGUCGUUACUGGGGAAUCACUUCCCGGUUCAGCCAUGUUAUUGAGCUAAUAUGUUCAAUAAGAUUUUGGGCAAACACUAGUUGAAUUUCAUUAAUACAGUAUUGCAUUUAACCCUUUUCUUUGGUCAAGAACCUCCAUCACAUUAGCAUGGCAGAGACGAAUCAUAGUUGGAAUGCUGUGGCAAUUCAAAGCAAUGUGGUUCAUCAAUUUGGGAAAUCAAAUUCCUUACAUAAUUUUAAAGUUGUUGUAAAAUUAAAAAAAUGAAACAGGAAAAGGCAGAAAUUCUUGUAGCUUUCUUUCUUUUGUACCACCACGAUAUCAUUACUUAUUACCAUUCUAACCAAAACAAGACAAGGGGAGCUACAAGAUCAUGCACUCACAAAAAAAGAAAAUAGAUGUUAGCAUAAUGCAAGUAAAGCAAAUACAUUUUACCUAUAGCUUACCAAUUACUUCCAGAUUUGUUCACAGGGUACUAAGUUCUAGGACAAUUCCCUGACUUAAGACAGUUUGUAUUGUUCCAUAAAAUGCAAAGGUACAGAAACUAGUUUUCAAAAAAAAAAAGAAGGUACAGAAACUGGAGCAUGUAGACGAUUACAGGGGAAAUACCGUCAAGCCCAAGAACUUUCUUGUAGAAGGUGGGGGUGAGAGAGAUGGGACUAGAAAUGAGAAAUUGAGAACAGCUUUGCCUCUCUAAUAAAGAGAUAAUGUCAUGGCUUAUAUACGCUAGACCCAAAACAAUGAACUAGCAACCAAAUCUAACUUGAUAACAAAGUAAACAUGCAAGUGACUGAUCUGACUGCUGCCCCCUGCAUACUACAAUGCCCUCAAUAUUGGUUGUGUGAACAACACCUCGUGCAUUAUAUCUCACAACAUGGCACUUUGCAAAAAGAUCAAGAAGCAAAGAUAGAGAUGCUCCAGUACAGUAAUAUAUGAUUAUCUUUACCUUUUCCUCUGCAGCAUCCACACUAGCUGUUUCGGUAACUGCCCUGUUUGCAUCCGUAAGUCCUGUUCUCCAUGAAAAAAAGGAGAGGUUAGGGCUCAUUUUUUGUCAAAUGGAAAAAAGAACCAUGCACCCAACACACCUUUGCUACAUGACUCUCUGUCUGACAUUUUGCAGUCAUAAGGCCGGCUUCAAGAAAAAGUGGAAGACAAAAUAAAAUAAUCAACAAAAUAAACAUGUAUUGGCAUAGAAAAUUAUUUUUUCUCUCGAAUAUGCAGGAGACGCAUAGAAAAUUAUUGUGUGAAGCAUACAAAGAGCAGUACAGGUUUAUAGUAUCCAUGACUUCUUCAGUAGGGCUAGGGCGAAAAGCAUAAUCUUUGAGGAUAGAUGAAACAUGUUCCAAGACCUCCAUACGGGGGACCUGUAUGAUAUACAAGCUAUUGUAUAAGGUAUAGCAAAAAUAAACAGAAAAGGCGAGACAUCGCUAGCCUUUUGUAAUGUAGCGAUCAUAUAACCCAUGGUAGCAGAGAGAUGAUGGAAAUAAUGGGUUGCAAUAUGAAUCAGAAAGCAAUAGAACAGUGUGCAAAAAAUAGUUAUAAACAUACAAUUGCAUUCAAUUAAAUACUUGUUCUAAUAUGAAACUUUACACCAGUAGUGACCACAAGCAUACUUAUAGAAGCUCUUUAUAAAUCUAUACUCAUUUGUAACCAAACAAGGUCACCACUAUCUGUGCCCCAACAUUGAAUGGUUUGUAUCUACAUCAGGGGUGGAGGCAGGCCUUGUUAUCGGGGUCAGCUGACCCUGAUGGAUUAUGGAAUUCCUAAGCUUAAUUACUGUUCAUCACUAAGAUAAGUAAGAUUUGACCCCAUCAUUUAAAAGAGCUGACCCCGGUGGAUUUUUGGGCUGGCUUCACCCCUGAUCUACAUUACCACAACUUGAAUUUAUAACAAUUUAGUAAUGGAAUUAAUACAGACUCGUUAGCUAUCUUACAUAUAGCAUUUUGUAAAAAUAUAUUCAUUAUUUAUUGCAUAAUUAUAAUAUAGUAAUUAGUUACGAGAUGUAUAAAGGUUCUACUUAUAGUAACUCUGAUAUGAGGCUAGGUUACUACCUAAAAUAGAAACUGUAGAAUUUUGCUCUCUCCAGUUCAUGUUUACUGCAUUAACGGAUACUCCCUCCGAUUCUUUUAGUUUGAUACAUCAAAAGUGAUCCUUUUUAUUUGAUGUUAUAGUAUUCCAAGAAGAUAAAUUGCUACAUCUCAAUUUAUUUAGUGAUAAUGACAAUUUACAAGACUCAGUUCCUUUGUACAUUGGUUACUGUGGGUGGUCGAGACAAACUGAUUCAAUGAGGAAGCAAGAGGCAUAACUUUAGUGGAGGCAUGUGGUCAUGUUUGUUCUUCUAAAUUUGAGUGCACAAACCUAAAACAUCAAGAAAGAAUGAAUACAUUUCAGUGAGCUACACUUACUUGCUCAAAAUUAUCAAAAACUACACUUCCUGAAAAAGAAAUUUCACAAACUAUGCUUUCUUUGCACAUAUUAUCAGAAAACUACACCUUUUUUUGGCGUGAACUGAAAUAUUAAUUAGGCCCACAUGUCAACCACUCAGAGGUUAUAGCAGAGCCAUAUGUGAUGACAUGUGGGGUCAUAGUUGUCGUCAGCUAGUAAAAUUUUGCAUCUUUAUGGUAAUAUGGGCACAAUAUGUAUAGUUCUGGCCUUCUAGGAUAAGGGUUCGAAAAAUUAGUAGUUAGUUCAUUGAUAAUUUUGAGAUUCGAAGUGUAGUUCUCUGAGUUAUGCAAAAAGACGGCAGUAGUUCAUAUAUACUUGCUGUAAGAAAAGUUCAUUGGUUUAAGCAAGACACCUCUUGAAACAUUGCAGCAAGAGGGUAAAACGAAAUUCAUAUGAGUUCAACAAAAUAUAACGCUUCCAUACUCCAAAUUGUACGAUAUCAAUAUGAUCAGUAACUGUGUUGCAAUCUUAUUAUUGCUUGAUACCAACUCUUGAAUUCAGAUAGUAAAACAUAUAUCACUUAAGGUUGAGUUCCUUCCAUAAUCUUUCUUCUCUGAGUAGCUAUUUGGGAAGAUUCUAGGGAUGGAAUAGACCCUAGUAGUCUAGUAUAUAGUAUCUAACUAAUGCAAUCCUAUCUCAAGUCGACCAGACAAGAGUAUGGUCUAUCCUAUCUUAAGGAUGAGUAUCACUAUUGGAGCAAACCUAGGAGGGAUUGACCGCUCCUGCUAUGGGCUAAGCCCAUGGUCCAAGCUUGAGAAGGCCUCCGGCUUCUCAACACAACACAACGGGGCUCUUAAGCUUUAUGAGAAGCCACAACACUUUUAGGUUAUUAUAAUCUUGAGAUGUUUUUAAGGUGAAGUUGAAACUCCACCAGAUAGAACAAAUAACAAAGUUAUGCCGGCAAUGUAAAUCCGUGCAACCAGACUCUUGCAAACCAACCAGUGAUUUUGCAAAAGUGUUAUUAUUUUCAGAGUUCAUUUCUGUCUAGAUCCCUUAAAAAGAAUGAACUCUUAUUACAAGUCUGUCAAAUAUAACAUUUCCCUUUAAUUCGUAAUCAGUGUUUAUGCUGAGAAUGAUGUAAGAUAUUGGCUGUGUGCGGUCGUAGAGGCCGGAGACAAAUCUUUUUUCUAAAAAUUACAAGUCUGUCAAAUAUAACAUAUAUUAUUCUUUUCAGUUGACAUGAGAAUAUUAACAUUCUUCAUGCUAAUAAGACAAGGGCAUGUAUUUUCUUAUCAACAGCACUAACUGUAGCAAAAUAAAAAUAUUAAAACAAUAAAAGCAGACAUCUGAGGCACCGUAGCGGCAAUAUGCCAAAAAUUGCCUACCUCUGAAUGUGCCUGGAUGUAUGAAGAAAGAGGUUCACCAACAUGGGAAAUUACAUCAACAAGAAGCCCUGCACAAUGAAUAAGUGUCCUCCUUUCCUCCAGAAGCUCAUGUGUCAUUUCGUUUGAGCCUUUCCCCCACCUUAAGGCAAGAUAAAGCCUCAGUAUACGCCUAUUGAGAAUGUCAAACCCAUCUUUCUUGCCAUCCAUCUUAGAGGAACAGCCUCCACGGAUCUGCUCCUGAGCGGCCAGCAGUAGAACUGCGGACUGGAUAAGUUUUCCAUCCUCGAUGUAAUUCCAGAGCUCCUCAAGUAGAUUAUUUGUUUUUUCUGCAAGCAGUCUAGUUGUAUCCAAGAAGAUCUUCUGUAGAACAGCAAGCAAACAAAAUGGAAGUACCAUUUAGCAUUUGUAUGCAAGCAAGUAGUGCUGAAUAACUUUCUAUAUAUCGCUCUGUCUCCAGUCAAAGUAAAUAUGGAUUAGGGACAAUCUCCAAGGAAAACAAAAUAAAAUUAGUUAAUAGCAACAUUUUUGUAUAUUUAUUGAAGACUCCUUGUCUUUUACUAUAAGAACAUGCACACAUGAAGGCAAAAGAUUAUCAACGGGGAACUAUAUUUUCUCUGCCAAGUCGAGAUGAAAAGGGUGCUCAGUCCUUGGUAUCACUAAUUUAUUUUAACAGCUGUCUGGGAUCUAUGGCAAGACCACAUCUACUUUUUAUUGUCAUGAUGUAAAAGUAGUACUUUGUGUAUGGAGGAGAGUGACACAAACCAUUUCAGGAAGACACAGCAGAAGGACAAGCUUGUAGAUGUAUUCCAGAGGAUUCUGGCUGAGAGAAAGAUUGUCCUCCAGAUACUUAUGCAGGCAAGUAUUCUCAACUGCAACAUGGAGCGGGAGCAGGUCCUCAAUGACAUCAUUACCAACUGUGCGUACAUUGGCCGAUGCACCAUGGCAUAAGAGCAGCUCGAUCAUGUCAAUAGAGAACCUUUCAGCAGCUUCAUGGAGCGGGAAGUAUCCAUAGGAGUUUAUGCAGUUGGGAUUAGCAUGCAUCCCAUGGAGCUCAAGUGCCUUGCCCUCCAAUACAACUUUUGCACAUUGCAGGGCAUUGAAACUGACCAUGUGAGUCAAGGUUUGUGCAGUGAUGGUAAGAUUCCAUGACAUGCCCUUGCCUGCACAGUUCUUGAAUAAUUGGAGGAAGCACUGGACACUGUCCUUUUUAAGAAUGGGCUCCAAUUGGUAAUAUUUGUGAAAGAAGGUCUCACACACCCGCUAGAUGGAUCCAUCACAACUGAAAAAGGUGAAAGGCAUCAGCUAUCCAUAUAACAAAGCACAACAAAUAAACUGCCCUAGGGAGGUGCAUAUAUGGCAACAACAAAACCUUGUAAAGCAAGCAAGUUGGGGUAGGUAGAGAUGAAGCCAAACAUGACGCAUUAACAACAAGGGAAGAGAAAGAAUAUAAGGGGAUCUAAAGCCUAUCAUGGUUCAUGCAUGUGAAUCAACCAUAUGUUCCUAUUCGAAGGUUCAUAUAUGACAACACUAAACAAAUUGUUUCAGUAGAGUUAAGUAGCCUAUAAAUUACAUGAUUAAACAAAAUAACAUAACUAAUGGAAAGAUUCAUCAGUUGAAUUCUGUAAAUGAAGGUAACUUACCUCGGGACUAGGGUCUGGGAUUAUUAUGUCAUUUGCUAUGGACUGGGCCAUCGAAAUAUGCCUUUCUGACAUAAUCUGAAAGAGAGAAUGUCAAGAGUCAGCACUACGGGAAGAAAAUUGAAGGGGAAGCGAAUAUCACACAGAUGGAUAGUUAUCGUACCUCCUCAGCCUUUUUCAAAUUGAAUUCCUUAUUAAAUUCAAAAUAAGUGGUAGGGAGCCGAGGAUACUCGUUUCUUACUGUAAUCGGUUCAUCUUUACCAUUACCAUUAUCUUUGUCGCAGGCAGCUGCCUCCUUUUUCCACAUAUUGUGAUCAGGUGCCUUAAAUUCCAAUUCCAUCCUUUCGUUUUUUCUGAAACAUGGUAGUUUAAUCUCGAAUUAUGCUCCAAACAAGAUUGCUACAAGGCAUGCAAUAGUCAAACAAUGACCCAGAAGACCAUGGAUAAAAUGAGUCCUAUCUAUCUAAAAGGGAUCACACCCCACUGAAACAUGAAACGUAUGCUGCAAAUAGAAAAGAUUGUAUUUACUCCAUACCUCCUGAAACGUAAUAGUGCUAUAUGCGCGCAAUGAAGGGCCAAACAAGUUUGUCAAAUACCAGUUGAACCAAAAGCUCUGGUGCACAGUAAUUAUAAAAUCUAGAAAAAACAAAAGCUAAAUUCGUUCAACAAGAAGUGAAAUAUAUUCACUGGUUACUCGCUCGCACGAAUAACUAAUAAUAACUUGCCCUUGCUGAUGCAGUGAUGCCACUUGAAGAGCAAUUAGAGAUCUUGGCAUGCAAGGCACGGCACCAGACCAACUAAACAGAAAAAACAGUAUACACAACUUGCAGAGUACAUAUACGUACGGAUGGCUACUAGAUAGCAACUGAGACUAAUGAUUGCGCUAACAAAACGAGAUGCAAGAAAAUUUAAGCUCGGUUUCAUUCAGUUCAAGGUUCGGAUUUGACAUUUUGACAUGAGGAACAGCACCGGAUCCGAGGGAUGUAAUGUAACCAGCAGAUGCUGAUCCCAACUUUGAAAAAGCGAGAAAUCCGCUUCGAACUUCGCAUUAGGAAGAAGAUGCCGCAGUUCACCAACAACAAACUACCAUGGUAAUUACAAGAGAUAAACUAAUGACCAAAUAUCAGAAACUUGAUGCAUUACCAGUUUACCACAGGCCGGUUCCGACUUGGAUCUUCUGAAUAUGAAAAAGGUCUAACUUUCCAGUAUCAGAAGAAAAAAACAUAUCAUCGGGGGGUGCCGGGGGUGCCCUAGUCGGCGGCGGAGGGGGGAAGGGCUCGCGCGAUGGGGCCCGGCCUGGUUUCCACAGAUAGAUAGCCCAGGCCUUGCUCUCGCGGGCCGGGGGCCGGCAGCAUAUAAAUUGGACGACGAGAACAAGGCCCGAGCCCGACAGCCUUGACUAGGCAGCAGCCGCUACGUCGCAAUCGCUCGCUGUGCAAAAUUGCUAUAAAACGGUUAGAUCUUUAUCCGUCAGAUACGGUGGGUGAAAAUAUCCUUUCGAUUCGAAAUUCUAGAUCCAUUUUUUUUUCUGUAGGCCCCUUCUAGAUUUGUUUAAACAUUCGUGUUACUUAGAAUGAGUCCUGUUUCGACACACAAGACACCUCCCCUACAGAAAUUCUUGGCCGAGCAGUUCGCGACCUCGACCUAUGGAGCUGGCAGAUACAAGAAACGGGCGGACCAUCCUCAAGCCUGGACCUAUGCGUGUGAUUGGAUUGGUGACCCGUGAAUAGACGAGCAUGAACUAUUAGACCUGAGUUAUGUGUAGGAUCAACAGAGGUAGAUGGUUGACUUCACGGCCGGAACGGUGGUCUCGGGCUUCGACAUGUUCCCAGUCUGCGAAAAUGGGCUUAUUAUUCAGCCCACUCAGCAAAACAGAUCAGCCUCAGCUGGGUAUGUAGUUCAGUCAGUCAGUCCACUCUGGCUGUCUGUGUGUUCCGUUCCCAGGUCUCCGCUUGAUCCAUGAUUCGAGUAGGUGUCACCGUCCGGUUUUAAGAGCAAAAUCAGGUGACUAUCAUACGUGUGCUAGGAUCAAAUUUCACACAUACAAUGACUUUAGGAAAUAUCAAAUACAAUGUUAUAACGUAAAGAGAAAAUUACAUAGAUUACAUAACCAGAAAUGAGAUAAAAAAAUCUCUAGUAUAAGCAACGGAUCUCCAACAACUCCAUAGGCAGUUGAUUAGGGAAACGUACGCCUAGCAAAUCUUCAAAGUCUUCAACAAGUUUGUCUUAUAUUGAAUAGCAGAUAUAGCAAGUGUGAGUACCUGUUACUCAGCAAGUACGGGGAAAUGUGUAGUGUAAGGCCAAGUCAGGAAAUAAUUUACUGGUUUACUGCAUUUGAACAUUUUUAAAGUUGUCAAGUUUUAUUAGCAUAUUUAUUAGGAUGUAAGUUUAUACCACCCAAUUAAGCAUAAGAGUAAGGAUAUAUCACGAACAUAAGUAAAACAUAUGUUAAUUAUUCUUCAAGUUCAAUUAUCAUGCGAGGAUCCAGACCACUCUUGGCCGUGAGCACGUCUGAUAUACCAGUUUUACACUCUGCAGAGGUAGCAGACUUUAACCAUAAGUCGCGUAAAAGUUCAAGAGAACUUUAGACCCAACCAUGCUGUGCAAAAAUAGACACUUAUCACACUACCGAGAUGUGACUGCAUGGGAACGCUACGAGGCUUUUACAAAAAUUCCCUAAUAAGUGAUAACCUGCUAAGUUUUCCUCAUAAGGGGAUGAACCCUCCCCGAAGUGGUGCGUACACCACUUGACUGGACAAGCCAUCGCACAACCUAUGAGCCUCUCUUGCCCUUUCGGUAAGACUAUCACAAACUAGAGUCUCUAAUUAAUUAGCCAAGAUCAGAGCCCGUUGAUCUUAUGGUUGUAUUGUUUUCCUGGGUGGUCACUCCAUGUUCCAAUUAAGGCAUGUAAGUGGUUGUAAUUAACAAAGGUGUGUAACAUAAAAUAAAUCAAGUUCAUCAUUGUUCAUUACUUCCCACCAUAAACCAGGACCAACUAGCAUAGCUACCCAACAAUAAAGUAAAACUCAGGUUGACAAGGAAUAAUAUGAAAACUAGGUACAUCCGUAAUUAGGACCCAUCAAAUUAAGACUCAAGCGUGCAUAGCAUAUGUUUCAUAUAUAAAUGUUAUAUAGGAUGGAAUGUGAUUAAGGACACAACUUGCCUUUAUCCACAGUAUUGUUGCUGCUCAGAAUGUCUCCGUCUCCUUACUCUUGAAUGUUCUCGAAGUGGGUUCGUUCUACUCGUUACAAUCAUCCAAAGUAAACAUCCAGAGCACGCACAUACAAGCAAACAAAUAAAUUAAAUUAAAAAUAGUACACAAAUCAUCAUAAAUAGUACUGAAAAGUGGUACAAAACUAAUCUACACAUUAAUACGAACACAUGAGCGAAAGAAUCACUCAAAAUGGAGUUAAAACGCAAAAGAUAUGGCUUAACGAAGCUGUAGGGACUUGCUGGCGAGGUUUUAAAACUUCCAGGGGCUUAACUGCGAGAAAACAAGGGUAUAAAUAUAAUUUUAUCUAGAAACUCGAGAGCUAACGUGCAAAAGCUUGAAGACGGACUGGAUCACGAGAGUCUGAACUUUCUUAGGACUUUUCGCAAAAUCUACAAGACACAAACUUUUAGAUUAGGAUUUCCUUUUUCCUCGAGGGCUAAACUGCAGAAGCGACUUCGGCCUGGUUUGGUUCCCUGACUUAUUUUUAAGCACCCAUCACAUCGAAUGUUUAGAUACUAAUUAGGAGUAUUAAACGUAGACUAUUUACAAAACCGAUUACAUAAGUGGAGGCUAAACGGCGAGACGAAUCUAUUAAGCCUAAUUAGUCCAUGAUUUGACAAUGUGUUGCUACAGUAAACAUUUGCUAAUGAUGGAUUAAUUAGGCUUAAUAGAUUCGUCUCGCCGUUUAGCCUCCACUUAUGUAAUGGGUUUUGUAAAUAGUCUACGUUUAAUACCCCUCUAAACAUUCGAUGUGACACGUGCUUAAAAAUAAGCAAAGGAACCAAACAGGCCCGUGGGCCGGACCUGCCGGCGGCGCUCGGGCUGAGAGGGGGGAGCUCGGCGGUGGUGGUAGGGCGCGGCUCGGCUCGCGGGGCGGCGAGCGGUGCGGCAGCGCGGAGCACUGGAGGCGCGGGAGGGGCAGCACUCGGCGGCGGUGGCGCGCGGCUGGCGGCGGAGGCGCACAGGGCGGUGGCGCGGAGGACACGGGGCUGGGCAAACUGGAGCUCGGCCAUGGCCGGCCAUGGAGCGCACCCGGAACAGGAGAGAACUAAAGGGGAAAACGAGAGAUUCGCCGAGAACGACCUCCAAACUCGCGAUUCAACGGCAAAACGGAACAAGGACGACGAGAGGAACGUGUUGGUGCGCUCAUCUUUGACCGAGGAGUGACGGUUUCGCCGAAUUUGCUCGUCGGAAAACUCGCCGGAGUUUAACAGAUGCGUACAUUCGGUGUCUAGAUGUGGUAGCUAGGGCUUUAUAGGUCGGGUUAGAGUCUGGUGGUAUUUUCUUUUUUCUAAUUUCGAGAAUUGAUUCCGUAUUCAAAAAUAAUUUCAAAAAAUCCUGAAAUCAUAAUUAACUCACGAAAAUACUUUGAAAACUCCAAAACAUUCAGAAAAAUUCCCGGAGAUGACUUGGGAAACGAGGAACCCAAAUAAAAUACUUGGAGCUCCUAGAAGGACUUGUAGAACCAUCCAAAAAUUGGAUUAAUCUCUAAAAAAUAAGAAUAAAUUUCAGAAAAAUCUGAAAAAGUCUCAGAGGAACCUAAUCAUCGUCUGAACGCAUUUUUAAAAUUUUUCACACUCAAGGAAUAAGAAAUGCAACACACUUAAACCUAUGAUUCAUUAAGUCAAUUUUAGGAAAAGAUUUUAAUGCCUAAUAAAUUCACAAAGAAACCUUAAGGCCAUAAACGAACUCAAACAAAUUCUAGAUAAAUUCUAAUUAAUUUUUUAUUAACUACAAUAGAUGAAAAGUUAGGGUGUUACAGUAGGUUAGAGCCCACGUACCUAUUUCUUUAAGAUGAAGGUCCUCCUCUCUUGUAUACAAGGUUGCUCCUUCCAAGUUUGUAUUCGGUAGGCUGCAAAAAAAAUAUAAAAGAAAAGGGAAAAGAAGAAAGAAGAAGAAUAAGAAGAAGUGUGUCUUUGGUGGUAACAAAUUAGCAAUGAGUCAGUGACACAAAUAUGUAACCGUGCGGUGAAACUGGGCAGGAAGAGAAUUCACAUGAACAAUGGCAACUCCACGUGCACGCAUCGCCAGCAAUACACUUGGAUAAGCAUGUAUCGUCGAUGACUCUCGUGUCUUAGAUUCCUAUUUCACCUAUAGGUUAGUUUACACGUACGGCCGCACGAGAGUUGCUCUAGCAGCCGGCCACGAUCGCGAGGACAAUGCGAUGGCCCAACCUGUGCUUUCGCCGUCAGUUGUGACUUGUGACGACGGACGAUUUAUUUUGCUGGUCGUCAGAUAGUACUCCGAUGUGGUUUGCCUUUCAUUUUCAGCGUCAGUUUUCCUUUAUCACGAAUGAUGAUGUAGUCGUCCCAACGGAAGUCGCUCCCAUCUAGAAGACAUGGAUCACAUGUCCAAAUAUCAGCCACGCAUUUAGUGGGUCUAUCCAUAAACUACAUGUACGUGACGCAUGAAACACGCACAAAAAAUCUAUUUCGGUUUUAUUUCUGUUGCACAGACGGCAUUUCCUUAAGAAAGGUGACUGGAUAUUCACGGACAAAACGGUUUCAUAUUUUGUGCAAGAAUCAGGAUAAUAUCUGUGGUGAAUCCACUCUCAUGCCAGCCAUGUUUAUCUAACAGCUAAAAAAGAAGCAGCAACCUUUUUAUAUUGAAAGAAAAGAAGAAAAGAAAGAUCUGCUCGUAGUCUGGUUCUUCCAGCUAGUCCCAUUGGAGGCUGGAGCUGACCUAACUUUCCAAUCCCCCUGGUUGGAAAGACAGGCCCCCAACUACCAGGCAUUAAAAUGUCCAAGCAAAGCAUGCUACAAGAUAAGCUGCCUAGCUAAUCCGUCGUACGGACGCAGAAUAUUUUUCAAUGCCAAUUGUGCAACAGGAUAAGAUCACAUUGCACAUGCACAGUCACCCCCCGACCCCUCCCUCCCUCCCUCCCUAACCCACCAAACCUAGUAUAAUUAUCAAUCACAUCGCUCGCAUUGGAGAUGCAAGUGUAAGGAUUAGGGCAUCAACCAAAGAGCAAUAAAAGGAUAAACAAUCCGCAUAGGAUUCUUCAUCGCCAUCCCUUGUCUGUUAUCUCUCCGGCUCGAGACUACUCGCCAAGGAAACCAGAAAAAUACUAGGAUGAGCAAUCAGCAAGGUCGGCAGGUCGCUACCCCCAUGCGACGCCCCGGUGCUGCUAUUGCGUAUGAAAACAAUGUGGCGCAGCCGUCAGGAAAGAUGUUGAUUCACCACCCUUUUACCUCACCCACCACUUUCCCAGGAAAACGAAACGGUUUCACUUUCACGCCAUUUUUCUUCUUCUUCUUCUUGUAGUGCCUUGCAAUUUGUUUAUGUGGCAACCCGUUGUGUUUGGCGAAAACAGAGGGCGUUGCCUUGCAUUUUUGAGAAACCUUUUUCACAUUGUUGUCGAUCUACGCACCACGCAGAAUGAUGAGGGAAACAGGGAUGGAUGGAUCCAUUUGCUGCUUUUUCAAAACAAAGUUAACUAGCUGCAAAGUGACUUUCGUUCUUGGGAUCGGAUCAGACUUUGAUCCUUACUCAUUGGCUAACACAUCUGCAAACAAAGCAAGCCAUAACACUGGUCAUGGCCUGAUGGCAGGUUAGUUAGCUGGUGGCGUAGUACAAUCAUGGGAUACCUUAUCGAGCAAAUCAUGGCACAGCAGCAAAAUUAAUCAAAUGGAUCAAAGGCAGCUAACCACCACGAUCAUCAUCAUUAGUUAAUGAUACAAGGUUCAGGUUAGGUCAGUUCAUACACAACUUCUGAGGUCAAAGAAAGGCAGGAUGAACACAACAAACUUGGAUCUUAUACACUGGAAUUAUAUAGUAAGUGGCUACUACAUCUCUACUGGCCAAAAGAGGGGCCAAAGUGGGGAGCAAAUUUGCAGCUGCUAAUCACUACCAUCAAUCCUGCUAUUUUGCAGAUCGGACAGUGAGAAGGACCUAGGGGAUCUGAAGCUCCCAAGGCCAUUCCUCCUCUGCAUGCCAACACCGAGGAGCCUCGGCGGAGGCAAUGGCAAUGCCGGCGCACCCCGGAUGUUCUUGCCGCGGUGCGGCAGCUGGUUGCAUUCCUCCUCGUCGUCGUCGGAGUCGUCCUCUUCGCCCUCGUCCCCCUCGGCGACGGCGUGGUCGGGGGCCAGGAGCGGGGGGAGGUAGGUGGCCGUGGCGAGCGAGCUGCAGGAGGCUCGCCGAGACCAGUUGGCCAGGAUGCGGCGGCGCUUGUUGAAGGGGUUCUCCGGCUUGGCCAGCUCCUUGGCCUCCGCCACCGUCGACGUGGCCUCGGCGAGGCUGGUGAAGGACUUGGACUUGCCGGCGUAGAAGCUGGAGAGGCCCUUCCUGAUCACACCAAAUUAAAGUCGAGUUAAUUCUGUGAGCUAUCUGAGCCAAUUGGGUCAAAGCUUCCGUUUCCUCCUAUGUUACAAAAGGGGAAAUCCAUAAAUUGCAAUUUCUCACACCAUUCUCGCGAACUAGACUUCCAUUUCACAUCGCAAACAAGAUUAGCAAUGUAGCAAAGGCUCCAAACAUUUCUCCUUUCGAAAAAAGUUUUCGUUUUUUGCAGAAGUAAAAUAAGCAUAAACAAGCCAAGAUGAUGAUAAAGAUGAAAGCUUUAUCAACUCAC